rnacentral:lncRNA from 1 species
UUGGAGAUCCAGCAAGACCUGGACAGAAGUGGCACAUCUACUACGCCACCGAGUACCCAGAGCAACCAGUGGUUAACCUUGAGAUGUGCAUGACUGGUCUGGACAAGAAGAAAGCUUCAGUCUUUUUCAAGACUAAUGCUGAUGGUAACACAACAUGUGCCAAGGAAAUGACGAAGCUCUCUGGUAUAUCUGAAAUUAUCCCUGAGAUGGAGAUCUGUGAUUUUGACUUUGAACCCUGUGGCUACUCCAUGAAUGCGAUCCAUGGCUCUGCAUUCUCAACAAUCCAUGUGACGCCUGAGGAUGGUUUCAGCUACGCCAGUUAUGAGGUUAUGGGCUUUGAUGCCACUGCUCUGUCUUAUGGUGACCUCGUCAAGAGGGUCCUUAGGUGCUUUGGCCCCUUGGAAUUUUCUGUUGCUGUGACCAUCUUCGGCGGGCGUGGCCAAGCUGGGACGUGGGGAAAGCAACUUGGUGCAGAGGUUUAUGACUGUAACAACAUGGUGGAGCAGGAGCUGCCUGGUGGCGGACUCCUCAUCUACCAGAGCUUCUGUGCUGCUGAAGACGCUGUUGCUACCUCGCCCAAAUCUGUUCUUCACUGCUUCGAAGGUGUGAACAUGGAGAAUGCUCCUCCUGUGAAGGACCGCAAACUGGCUAAUCUUCUCUGCUGGGAGGAAGUGGAUGCCAUGGAGAAGGAUGGAGUGCUUGAUGAGUAAGAUGGGCUUCUGGUGUCGAUUUGCUUCUGAGUUGUUUUUUUUAUCUUUGCAAUUUCGUUGUCGUCGUUUGGUUAUUCUGUGAAGCAGCCAAGCCAGGCUAUUAGAGUAUGAAAAAUGUCGUCUGUAAGCAUGUUUUCCUAUGUUGCCACAUGCUGAAUCAAUUUGAAUAAGUAUUAAUACAGCUCUAGGUGGUCAGCUGCGUCUACCACAAUGAGCAUAUAUGUAUGGAGAAAUGUCUGUCCAAGCAUUUUAUUUAAGAAUAAUAAUUUUUUUUCGAGUUAAAGUGAUAUGUGAUUUGUUUCUUAGUCUUUAAUUUCUGUGUUACACUAUCGAUCAUAUUUCUUUCCAGGUCAUAAUUAAUCUACUCAUUUCUGGACGACACUGCAAAAAUAGGUGGACGAACAUGUUUCAAGCGAUUUCAAUCUGUUGCUAUCGUCACAUUAUUCUAUUUUAGGCAAGAUUCGUCUCAUAAAUUACAGAUAAAUUUUAUAAUUAGCUAUUAUUAUAUAUAUAUUUAAUAUUUAAUAUUCUAUAAAUACGUUUAAAAAUUAACAGCAAAUCUUCAAAAUUUUGAAAUUUUUUAGAACUGAACAAGGCCUCCGUAUGGAUGCGGUAGGCAAUAAGUUUCCAUCGUCUAGAGCCGAACAGGUCGACCAUCGACGGCAGCUCUUGCUAGGCUGGAGUCAGUGGGUGACUGGUUCCUCGUCAGUUGUCAUCAUCCAACGAGAAGCAUCUCAUUCUGUUCCGUUUAUGCUGGUAAAGUAGAUGGAGACCGUAGGCUGCUGCUUCUCGCUGCUUCGCCGAGCCAGCCAGCGAGGGUUCCGUUCAGAUCGUGAUUUCUUCGUCAAUAGAGUUUUGUUUGCGCCAUUUCUUGGAAAAUACCCACAUGCCAGAUCCAUCCAACUAGAGGGGAGGAAUAUGCUGUCGUGGUAGCAGUUGCGUACCGCCCUCCUGCCUGCCAAUGCCGUCCAUAUCUUUGCUUCAAGCUAGAUGCGAUGAGAUAGCAGCAGCCGCAGGCCAAUGGCGUCCAUAUCUUUGCUUCCAGACCAGAUGCGAAGAGAUAGCAGGUUCCUUCCAAACGAAUCGGUUCCAUCCGCCUCUUUUGUUUGGCCGUCCAUAGCCCUGCGAAUUGAUGGGACGACCAAACCUGACGCUGCCUGAUAUCACCGAGGAACACGAAUCUAGCUACCCACCAUUCCCCGUAUUUCUUCGCCAAAUCUCUAGCUUUGCCCUUACUUUACCACGUUGGCCGCCAGCCAGCCACCCGUUUGCUAAAGCUGAGGGGAAUCUCGUCCCUGGAUGGCUGCAUUUGGAUCUCAGGGAAGCUAGAAACUUUUGCCUAGCAAGGUUGGGUAUAUGAAUCUGGCCACUAAGACUAUCUCCAACAAUCGUCAUCCAAAAUACAAGACUCAUUUGUCCUUUGGGUAGCGCUACAGGUAAAAGGUUCCAUACCUAUUUUUAGACUUCUCCAACAACAAGACCUAAAAGACAACACUCUCUGCAAAUGGGUCUCGAGGAGAGAGGAUAUCCAAAUUUGGGUUAUGCUUCCCCUGAUACCCAAAAUAGGUUUUCUGUAUGGGUACUCUGUUGGAGGCUAUAGGUAUUGUGUUGGAAACCUAUUUUGAGUUUGGGUUACCAAGUACAUAUGCUAUUGGAGACAGCCUAAAGUAAUCCCAACGGCGCGCGGCGUGUCCAUUCCAAAUCCUGAUCGGCGACGCCCCUGCUCGCGGUCCCGUGCACCACCCGGAACAGUGGCGGAGCCAGGAUUUUACGGCUGGGUAUUCCGAGCAUAUAAAAAUUUUUGAUGUAAAUGUGCAAUAGUAACAAGGCUUUGUUAAUUUAGUUCCACCCAAAAACUAAAAACAUUUUUAACAUUUUUAUCACAUUGAAUUUUGCAGCACAUGUAUGAAGUAUUAAAUAUAGAUAAAAAAUAACUAAUUACAUAAUUUAUCUAUAAUUUAUGAGAUAAUAAAUCUUUUAAGUCUAGUUAGUCUAUGAUUAGACAAUAAUUAUCAAAUACAAACGAAAACAUCGCCAAAACAAAAUUCGUGUAGAGAACUAAACAAGGCUUAAGCAACGUACAAGAUCUGAACAUAGUGUCAUAGUGCUAUUUUCUCUAAUAAUUUCGAUGCAAAUGUGCUAGUGUAUGUGCUCACCUUGCCUCAAGCAGCAAGCCGGAGGCCGGAACCGAAACCGUGGACAUCGCCGGCUGCCGGAGCGCCGGGCACGCCAGUCGUCACUGCCCACCGGUCGCCGAAGCCAGGACGCUAGGGUCGGGAGUUGGUGCGAUGUGGAGCGGUGCGAUGCGAUGUGAGUUGGGAGACUAGGGGGUUGUUUGGUUGAUAGCUACAAAUUGCCACACUUUACCUUAGGCAAGUUUGACCAAAUUGGCAAGUGUUUGGUUGACAACUAAGCUUAGGCAUGAUUCUUUUGGACUCCACAUGUCAUAGAGUUUAAAAGUGUGGCAAGAUUUCUUUAGACAUGACAAAGUGUGGCAACCAAUUUGCUAGUCACACUUUUUAUGGCUUGCCACACUUACCUAAAGUUAGUUGUGGUAGACUAUGGCUUGCAACCAAACAUCCCCUAAGAGCGGCAGCCAGGAAACGUUGUCAUUUUUUUUUUCUUUACUUUGUUGAUUGAGCUGAAAAUCACUGCUUUCUGUUGAGCCUUCGGCCAGAUUUACAUCAUAUAGCAACUAUAUACGUUAUACUUAUACGUAUACAUAUAUGCAUUUGUGUUAAUUUCCAAAAUCUUAGGGGGGAAUACCCCUGGCGCCGCCCAUGACCCGGAAGGUCCGAAGGCUCAACUGCUCAAGACAUCGCGGCGUGCCGACCUCUCGGCCCGACACCGCGAAAGAUGAGAGAGCACGGGCACGGCUCGUGUUCGUGUCGCAUCUCCUCUGUCCGCUACCUUGUUUAUGCCCGUCUCCAAUACUAUAUAUAUAUAUCUAGCUUUUGCUAUGAACAAAAAAAAAAGUGAAUGAACUAGCUUUUGCUAUGAGCAAAAAAAUGAAAAAGAAAAAAUAAUAGUUCACGAUCAAAGGUAUUUAGCUGGAAGAUAUAGUAUGUUAUGACACAGAUUUUAAUUGAACUUCUCAAUUAGAACUGAAUUCCAAUCCACUACCACAUUUAGAGUAGCUUGAGCCAGCCCUGAGUAAAGAUGGAAACGAUUUUUACCCUAUUAAGGCAAGAGUAUGUGGUAAUUUGUCUAUUCGUGGCUCGUGGGUUUGCUAAUGGACAAAAAGCCAAACUUAGUGGAUUUGUAGGCAUAGGAUGCAUUUGUGGGUAUAGGUUUGAGGUGUAUUGGCAAACUCGCAAAACCAUGAACAAUCGGCAAUACUCUAGUUUUUCUUUAACUAGUCUGAUCGGUUUAGUGAUAUAUAUAUAAUUGAUCUUUCCAACCUAAACCUUCCCCCUUAGCCUACCCGGCCACACUAUGGCAGCGGUGGUGUGCAUUCACGCUCGAGCUUGCGCAUCACCCCGUAUUGAGAGGUUGAAUCCUGAUUGGUUGAUAUACGUAUAUAUCACUAAUAUAUGAAACUAUGGUAGCUGACUAUUGUAUUGCUCAGUGAAAUAUGAUUUCUCAUUUACAUUAUUUUUAGUUGCAUUAUGCAAUAUAUAUACAUAAGUAUAUGAUAAUCGUGAAUAUGUGUUGUACUAUUAUCUGCUGAUCGGUGGUCAUAUUGUGCCUGCUGUUGUGGGCACGAGUCUAGAUACAUAAUUAUAUACUCGUGAUGUUUUUUUUUUUUGAGACUACUCGUGAUGUGUCGUGGGCCUUCGCAUGUGUAAUGUAGCCCUGAGCCCAGGCUGCUCCGAGCUCCGAGUACUGCAGAUAGGGUACGCAAAAGAUAUCUCUAGUGUACUGUGUGAAGGGCCCAUAGAUCGUGGGCUGACCUUUGUGCAUUGCCCGGUUGCCGCCGGCGCCUCAUGUGCCCUCUCUGCUCUCUGUCCCAAGACAUGGUGGUACCGUGGACCGUGGUAGCUUGGUCCAUUUCCUUGCCGAUUGUGGUUGUUUCAUCUCGUAAAUCUGUGCGCAUUCAUUCUACCAAUAGGUUUCUAUAAAAUAAGAAUAUAUAUAUAGCACAAAAAUAAAAGACUGAAUGCGUUCAAUCUAACAUGGAUCUCACAUCUUUUCACUUUACAUCCUCUGGAACGCCAUGAUGAUAUAGAACGUUGUUGCACCUGUAUGUAGAUGUACAAACAUAAGAAUUGAAUCAUACAAGGGCCAAAGAUCCAAAUUCUAAAAAGUUCUAAAAAGUGCACACCAAUUUAAGUUUUGAAGCCCUAGCCUUCCUUCACAUGUAACUUGAUCAACACUACCAUAGUACUUUCUAAGUAUCUGUACUUGGAGUAGGGCAGCUGGAUGACAGGAUGUAUGAUAGCUUUUCCUGGUUUUAUAUCUAGAUUUAUUACAAAACAAAACUACUUGACAUGAGCUUACAAUUGAUUUAGUGAUAAAAGCUAUAGAAGUAAAUUUACAAUUGAUUUAGUGAUAAAAGCUAUAAAAGUAUAUUUACGCUUUCUUCAAAUGAAUGUCCCAUCGAGCGCAGACUUGAAUUUUAGAAACAUGACCACAUGAAUGUCAUUGCUCCUUCAAAUAAUUUGCCUCUGCACGCAACCUGCAGCACAGUUUUAGCUUCACAUCAAAUACCUCCGCUCACAGUCUGAUGUGGAACAGCUUUGCAAGAUGUAUUUUUUUUCUCACCUGGAUCGUCGAUGACAAGCGUGACAGCAUCCCAACGUGGUUCAAAUUUGCAGAAAACAUGUCCUUAUUCACCACUUUGAUCCUGUCAAUGUACCAAAUGUCACCUCAGUCAUAUACACUUAUCACUAUUCACCAAUGUCCUUAUUCACCACUUUGAUUCUAUAGCAGGUUUUGUAGUUCAGGAAAACAGAUCUUGUGUGUAAAAUUGUAUUCCGCCAAAGAAUAGAAGCUCUUGAGCAGGUUGCAAUAUCACAGUUUCCUUUUUCAGUAGAAAUAAAUUGGCUAAUAUAGAAAACCUUGCAAUGAUUAGGGUGCAGAUUUAUUACCAGACAAGCACCAAAGUAACUUGAGUUCUCAGUCAGGAGUAUACCAAGUUACACAGAUUUAUUGCCUAGCCUAGCAUUACAAUACCAAGUUACAUAGAGAACUUGAACUAAAAAAAUGAUCCAAGAAAGGAAAUGUGAAGAACUCACCGAGACAGUAGGAAGCUUGUUUCCAGCAAUCCCAGACCUAGAGAGUAUCAAUCGAACAACUGGAUUCCAUACCGAGCAUCAUAUUAUGAAAUCAGACUCUAAAUGUAUUUCUAAGCAUUCAUAUUUUUAAUCUAAGGCAACACCAUAAAGAAAAAAAGUUAAAAGUAGGAACAAUACACAAAUCUCACAAUGGGGUAUCCCCACCUGACAUGAACAGGAAACCUUGGACCCUUCUCUCAUAUUCCAUUAAAUUGCAGUGCAAACAACACAUUAGAUGUCCAUACAUAAACAAACCGAAUAAGCACCCACCAUUGGCCCCUGUUUCAAGCAUGGAAAAUUUGAAGUCUGUAAGAACUCUGCUCACUUAUGUGAAAUUCAUAAUCUGCAAGAAAAUCUGAAUGUAUGAGAGCAUGCAGCCAGGUAUCAUCUGGUUCAAGCCACAGAGAUACUAUGACGACACAGUUAGCACUAAAUCUUGUUCUUCUAUACUCAAUUUCCUCUUGACUCUAGUUUGGCAUGCACAAUGAGCAAACUAACCACGUCAAGAUUCAGAUGUACAGAGGGACAGAAACACGAUUAGCUUAUUUGUAAAUAAAUAAGCAAAAUAGUACAGGUACAGAUACAAAUUGUUAGUCCAAUGUGAUAUUUGAGUAGUGUAUUAUAUUAACUCAAAAUGUAAAAUCGACUUUCCAAACUGUGUAAUUAUUUUGCAAAAAAUCAGAUUGCAGUUAUCUAUCUAGACGUAAAUCUCGAAUGAACAAGGUCAAGGAUGGUGCGGACUACAGUUGCCUUGUGACUCCAAUCCCAGAUACUGAGAACAAGAACUGGAUUUAGACACAUUCAGAUUCGUGUUAGGGAGAGGAAGCAUCAUGAGUGAAGAAAUAAACCUCACAAUCCAUCACCGGAUCUGCUCGACAGAAAGAAAUUAGGAUCUGCACAACAGAGAGAAAUUAGUCGCCACUCCACCACACCGAAAAAGUCAUUGAAGUUCCAUGGGAAUAGGAAAAACCAAACGAACUGCCCUGCCAAAAUCGCCAAGAAUCUAAAAAUCCUUUGGAAUCACAGGGAGUGGCUAGUCGAGCUAGGGUUUGGGUUGAGGGGGAACGCGGCUACCUGCUUGGGUUCGCUUUCAAAAUCUUCUAGAAGGGUGAGGCGGGCGCUGUGGCUGGCCAUGCCGCCAUCAAGCUGGCCGAGCCGCGAGCCACCGGGCGAUCGCGGACAACAGCUUGCCAUGUCGGCUACCCGCCUGGCCGCCGCCGCUUCGGCUGGCCACAAUGCUUGGCCUCCAUCGCGCAGUCCUGCACCUUCACGUGGUGGCCAGCCCCGCGCUCCCCCUGUGCCACCAGCGGUGGCGGCUCCCUGUUGUUGGGCGUUGGGGAGAGGAGUCGGUGCCACAAUCGCUCGAGUGAAAAGGAACGGGAAGAAAAAAAAGACAACGCGAGGGAUCGAACCGUGGCCUGGUUGUUGCGAUCAAGAGAGCCGCGCGAGCGUGGGCAUGAGUGAGAUGACGCGAGGGUGAGAGUGUGUAAGGUCGUGAUCAUACUUCUAAUCUGGGUCGUCUAAUCUGUAGGACAUGUGUUGUGAGUCGUUGAUCUUACAUGUAGGAUUUGCCUGGAGAAGAUUUCAAUUAUAGUAGAGAUAUACUCGUGAUGUUUUUUUUUUUUGAGACUACUCGUGAUGUGUCGUGGGCCUUCGCAUGUGUAAUGUAGCCCUGAGCCCAGGCUGCUCCGAGCUCCGAGUACUGCAGAUAGGGUACGCAAAAGAUAUCUCUAGUGUACUGUGUGAAGGGCCCAUAGAUCGUGGGCUGACCUUUGUGCAUUGCCCGGUUGCCGCCGGCGCCUCAUGUGCCCUCUCUGCUCUCUGUCCCAAGACAUGGUGGUACCGUGGACCGUGGUAGCUUGGUCCAUUUCCUUGCCGAUUGUGGUUGUUUCAUCUCGUAAAUCUGUGCGCAUUCAUUCUACCAAUACUAGUACGAGCAUACGACCGCUACGCUGUAAUCCUUCUACCCGGACAGAAACUGAAUGCCGUCCUGCGAGAUUGGGGUGACUGCCGUAUCUGCCGUCGAAAGAAGAUCCAAGGGCUACAAACAUUUUUACCAUGGGGGACCAAGCCUUUUCCGUUGCCCACAUGUUCGUUGUCUCUCCUUUGCAUUCACGCUUCAGUAAUGGCCGUUGUACUGCCAGCUAAGUGAACCGCGUAAUCACGUUUUCUCUUCGCUUGCUAGUGACGCCAUGCAAGCAAAUUUAUCAGGUCCAGUACUGUGUCCAUCGCCAUACGUAAAACUGCGUUGCAGAUCAGACACGUCAUCUACACAAUUUUCUGCAUUUUCUUUUCGCUCCUUUUUUUUCACUAAAAAAAAACGGUGACGCCACCUACACAAGAACACCUCACUAGCUCACCGAAGCAUCACCGGGCCAUCAACAGCAAACUAGCCAGCACCAGCUACAUCAACAAAAGGAAUAUAACCAAUCUCAUCCUCCUCACUCACCUCACUUUUCCUUGCUCUACAACAUAUAAGUUUCUGCACCGUCGGAUUCGUCAGCCAUUGACGCUGGAGCAGGUCCGCCGGAUCUCGCCGUCGGCGCCGGUCUUCACGCCGAGGCCGGUGAGCCUGGCGUACGAGCUGGCCCAGCUCGCGAAGAAGCCGUCCUGGCUCUGCGCGAACUCCGCCACCUUGGCCUUCGUCGUGGCGUUCUGCACCAGCACGGCGUCCGUGCGCAGCAGGCCCCGCCCGUCCAGCAGGUUCGCGAAGUAGCGGUUGUCGAACACGGACGCCGACCCGGAGUCGCAGUCCACGGCCGUGGCCGCCGACGCGGCGCCGUUCGCCGCCGCGCACGCCUGGAUCAGCUCGUUCGCGUAGUCGGCGUUCAUCGACCCGUCGAUGGGCGUCAUGCUCCCGUUCGCCACCUGGAACCGCUCCCGGAACGUGUUGCAGUGCGCCGACCCGAUGGUGUGGCCGCCUGCACAGCACAGCACAGCGCAGCACAGCACAGCACGCGCGCAAGACGACGUCGGUGAGAUGCGUCCAGUUUCGCAUUACCAAAAAAAAAAAAAAAAGGAGGGGGCCAAAGUUUUUCGUCUGCACGCCUGAGAGGGUGACGAGGUCGUCCAGGGUGAGCCCCUUGGCGGUGAAGCUGGCCGCCAUGGCGUCGACGGAGAAACCCGUGUCGAUGAUGUUUCUUCGGACAUUGGAUGCCAAUGAGACGAGGCCGUCUCGUCUUCCCAGGGCCACAGGCACCGCCGGUCCUCCGGUCUUGUUUUGGAACAAAAGUUCGUACACAAGAAUCUCAGUUAGUGGAUUGUUAAAUGGACAUACUGCGGCUUUGCCCCAAACAUAAGAUGGCAGACAUGAGACAUCAUGGAAACAGAAUUAUGUUGAUUUUGGGACCUGUAUCACAGAGUAGUAUUUGGACUAACCUAGGAGUAGUAUGCAAGCUGUAUCUUCUUGCAGAUGUUUGGUCACAGCAUACUUAUCAUACAGUAUACGGGACCAGAAACUAUCAAUUCAUUGAUUGCGUAGAGAUCUAAUCCCUUCAACAUUUAUUAACGAGAGAUUCUGUGUUGGCCCAUGUUCAGGUAAGUAGUUAAGGGCACUCACAAUGCAAGACUCUAUCAUAGAGUCCAAGACAAUUAGUUACAUAUUAUUUAUGGUAUUUUGCUGAUGUGGCAGCAUAUUUAUUGAAGAAAGAGGUAGAAAAAAUAAGACUCCAAGUCUUAUUUAGACUCUAAAUCCUCAUUAUUCGAGGUAAUAAAUAACUUUAGACUCCAUAAUAGAGUCUGCAUUGUGAGUGCUCUAAGACUGGCACUACGUAUUGUUUCUACGAGAUGUUUAAAGUUAAGCACCAAGGUAACUAUUGGAGCAUUCACAGUUUGGGUGAAUUUUGGCAAAGCUAAGGCAAAACUGCAGCAACUGUACAUUGAAGAGGUUUGAGCUGAUUGGACUGUCAUACUUACAAACACAACAGCAUCCCUUGCAGCGAGGACGACAAUGUCACUGCAAGAAACAGUCGCAGGGCACACGACUUCUAGCAACCUCUUUGCUGCAUCGAUGACAUUGAACCCACCAAGUGAGAGAUUUGCAGGAUCGGUCCUCUCAGUACCGUUACCUUGUAUCAACACCGAUGCAUCGCAUCCCUAAGAUCAAGAAAACAAACACUCAUUAACCUGAAUCGUAUUAUGUCAGUGUGGACGCUGAAGUUUCAUAAAGAGUGUGCAGGGGUGCAAUAUGAUAAGCUGCUGCCUUCAGUCACACACAUGCAAAGCUUUCAAAGACUACACUGAUGUUUGGUACCCAGUAUUCAACUAGGCAUUAAUGAUGUUUGAAGAGAUCUUGGUCUGACUAAACUGUUUGUGUUUGGUUACCAGUCUACCAGAUAGGCUACCAUUCUCGCACUUUUGAGUAUGUUGGCACAUCCAAAACUAAUCCAUGCACGUGAUUAGGAAUUUAGGAUCAAGACAAAUGGAAGCAGGAUAGAUAAAUGCAAAGAUUUGAGCAGUGGCGUUAUCAGAGGAUGCAAUUCAAAACAGUUUUCUUGGUCUUGUUCCAGGUAACUGGUAAAGUGGUAACGGUUAACUUGCUGCUACAAUUUGUACUUGUUCAUUUCUUUGGGUCUGCACAACUAUUGCAUAUUUUCUGCUCAGCACUCUGAACAACGGGGGUAAAAAAUCGUUGAGCAAAGCAACAUGAGAUAGGAAUUGCACCUGGCAGCCCCUGAAUGUAAACUAGAUCCUUUCUUUUUGCAUGCAAAAAAGCUAAUCACGAAAAUAUCUCUGCAUGAUCAUCUAGAUCAGGCACAUCCAUUUCACUAAUUGUUGGGGAGCACAACAAAAAAAAAGUCCUCAGUCUGCAACGAUGGAGUGUUUAUUUAACAACCAAAUGCAAGGAUUCAGACAGUGCAUUCCAUACCUCGACGAAGCAGUCAUGGAAGACCAGCCUAAGAAGCUUGCCGGGAAUGGAGGGGUCCAGGGUGGAUGCCGACCUAACGACAUCCCUCACCGCCAGCUCAACGCCCGGGCAGGACUGCGCGUAGAAGCUGGGCGAGAGCUGGCCCAGUGUGGAGGACAUCGUCGGCGUGGACUUCGACGGAGGCUGCGGGGGAGCAGGUGGUGGCGGUGAAGCCGCCGGUGUUGGAGACUGUCUCGGAGCCAAGGGCGGGGACGGCUUCGGAGCCGUCCGAGGAGGAGCUGGUGGUGCCGGUGUGGCAGGUGGAGGAGACGAUGGCCUUGGCGCCGGCGCGACAGAUGGGGAUGGUUUAGGAGCCGGCGCCAUUGCAGGUCGAGAGGGUGGCCUUGGAGCUGGCGAGGCUCCAGGUGGAGGUGACGCUCUUGGCACCGGUGGUGUCGCCACUGGCGGAGGAGACCUCGUUGGAGCCGGCCUCGGAGACGGUGUCGGUGACGACUUCCCAGCUGGCGCCGCGGGUGGCGGUGACGACGGUUUCGCGGCCGGGGUUGGCGGCCGCGACAGCCUCGGAGCUGGCGCCGCAGGCGACGGGAACGAAGGCCUCGCGGCGGCCGGCGCCGUCGGGGGCCGCGACGCGCUCUGAGCCGGCGACAGAACCGUGGACGGCGACUGCGAGGCGGCGAGCGCCAGCAGCGCCGACAAGACCAGCAUUGAGCAAACGACGGCGCCGCCCAUCUUGCAGCCGAGCCGAGGACAAGGAGAGCUAGCGAGCGAGCGCGUCUUUCCUAGAGCGACGAGAAGCUCACGGGCACGUGACUGUGCGUCUGUGUGAGAGAUAGCGACGGGGGCUGCGACGCGGUGUCGGGAGAAAAUCUAUCGCCUCAGCUGGUGCUGGUCUAGCUCUGGCAUUAAGGCCUGGUUUAGUUGGUGAAAAAUUUUGGAUUUCGCUACUGUAGCACUUUCGUUUGUUUGUGGCAAAUAUUGUCUAAUAAUAGACUAACUAGGGUCAAAAGAUUCGUCUCGCGAUUUACAGGCAAACUGUGUAAUUAGUUUUUAUUUUUGUCUAUAUUUAAUACUUCAUGCAUGUGCCGCAAGAUUCGAUGUGACGGGAAAUCUUGAAAAAUUUUGGUAACUAAACAAGGCCUAAGGGCGCGGGCGCGCGGCACGCCGCCACGAGCCACCACGAGGGGCAGCGGCACAAGCUGCUGCGGCGGUAGCACUGCCAGUGUUGUCAAGACGGCCCCCUGGCAGGCCUACGCGGCUACGCUGCUCGUCGCGUCGUCCACCACGGCCACCACCGCCCCGCCGACCUUUUCUCCCCCUCCGCCAACUAACAGCGACGUAGGAAGUAAAUACCGCCAUUAAUGGCGCACCUAGCUAGAGCCCCCUCCGGGCGAUGGAGAUGGAGCCCAGCCAGGCGCCGGCCCGCUCGCUCGGAUCGCCAUCGCCAUCAAUAAAUGAAUGAACACUACCUCCACAUCAUGCUCACCCGCGGCCCGCGGCUGCGCUGCCCUGCGCCGGAGGAAGCUGAUCGGGGAGGAAAUCCGAGACGCCGUGGUAAAAGCAUCGGGGCCCAGCCGGGUGACGCGUGAGAGCAGUUAUUACACACCAGCGAGAGAGGGGUAGAGAGGGAGGGAGUUGCACGGCAGCACGGCAUCGGCGACAGCUCUAGGAGCGCAAGCGGAGGGGAGCAAGGCAAGCACGCUGCUUGGACUCGCGGCGGUACCAGUACCAGAAUGGCAGUACUGUGCGACGGCCUGCGCGCGCAUCACGAAUUCACGAUUCACGGACGCUGUGCUUGUGUCUGCUGGGUACGUUUCGCGUUGGUUGCGCGGACGACGUACAGCACAGAUCGCGCGAGCUAGCGACGUGCGUGCCCACUUGGCCCAGUGGCAGAUAGAACAAGAUCCGCUCCUCGUUUCAGGGCAUGGGCCGAAACGAUUACCCUUGGGCUUGUUUAGUUUCCAAAAUUUUUCAAGAUUCCCAGUCACAUCGAAUCUUGCGGCACAUGCAUGAAGCAUUAAAUAUAGACGAAAACAAAAAAUAAUUACACAAGUUUAGCUGUAAAUCGCGAGACGAAUCUUUUAACUCUAGUUAGUCUAUGAUUUGAUAAUAUUUGCCACAAACAAACGAAAGUGCUACAGUAGCGAAAUUCAAAAAAAUUUCGCGAACUGAACCAGGCCUUACCCCCAAAACACGAGAGGGGCGACAAGCAGAGACGGAAGCAGUGGCGGUGGCUACAGCUCCGCAGAUGGCAGCAUGCCAGCAUGGCGGCAACUGCGUCUACACCUUAGUCCCUGUCGUAUUGUAGACUAAUUAUAAAACUAAUUCAUAAGCCAUAACUAAUUCAUAAGACAAAUUUAUUAAACUUAAUCAGUUUAUGAUUAGUGAAUGUGAUACUAAGUAAACAUAUACUAAUCAUAAAUUAAUUAGGCUUACUAAAUUCGUCUCACAAAUUAGCCAUGGCUUAUACAACUAGUUUUAUAAUUACCUAAUGUUUAUUGCUCCUAAUUGACAUCCAAAAAUUCGAUGCGAUAGGGACUAUAGAUCCAAACACCUCUGAAAUGAGAAUGGCACAACUACAUGAAAGACUUUUAUACUACCUCACCAAAAAAAGAAAUGCAAUUGUGGUCUCAUACCAAUCAACCUACCAAGAUAAUAUUAAAUUGUAUUAACAUUUAUGUUUUUAAAUAAAUUUAUUUUCAAACUUUGUUCUAUAACUAAUCUAAUAAUACUUAUUUUGUAAUAUAAACAUUUAUAAUUUUUAUAUAAAUAUAGCCAAAAGUUGAACUGUUUCACUCCUCGAAAAACAAAAAAUAUAUUCUUUUGUGAACGGAGGGAGUACAAACUAAAUAAGUUGUCAUAGGGUUUGAAGGUAUCCCAAGUAUGAGUGUCGUGGGAGUAUAGGGUUUUUCCUUUUUAUUUCUUCAAAAUCAAUUUAAUUUCUAAAAGAACUAAAAUCAUAUGUUGGGACAUUGUGAGAAAAAAAAGUAAUCCUAACAUUAAAACUUACUCACAUGAAUCAUCUAUUGCAGUAUCUGAAAACAUCCUAAAAGUCUCAUGCAACAUGGAGAAACAAUAAAUAUCAUAGUGUCUCCAGCCAUGUAGCUUGGAUGUACAACAACCAAGGAAUGAGUUUGAGGCGCCAGCUUGGAUGUACAACACCGUGAUGGGUUCAAACUUUGUUCAAAUCUGUCAGCCAUUCAGCAGUGUUUUUCUCUUAAAACAAUUCAAUGAACAAUGCUUUCAAUCAUAUCUUUUCAUAUAAGGGAACAUGCUCCUGACAGCUCUAGCUACAAGCUGCAAGCAGCAAGUGGCAAGCCCUAGCCCAUCACUGAAGGGAGAAGGGAGUAGCUCUUUGCCAGAGGAAAAGCCAUGUCGUCACUCAAAGCUGUGCUACACCACCCUGGGCUCAAGCACUACUCGAUCAUAAGGGGUUGAUGUGCCAUGAGAGCUCAAGCCCAUGACAACAUCGGGCUAGUUUAGAGCGUAUUUAGUUUGGAGAGUGAUCCCAUCAGAAUUUUUUUUUGGCAGACCUAGUUACAGACACAGACGCUCAUAUACACAAGGACAUACUCAUCACUAUGAACACACGAAUGCAGCAUAAGGUCAUCCACCAAUCUCGCAAGUCGCAAGGAAUGAUUCAAUUUGAUGAUUUAGCUCUCUUGUGGAAUGACUCGGUGACAGAUAAAUCAGAUCCAUGAUAUAAACCUAAACUUAGUUAGACUCGAAUACAGGAUCAGAUAUCACAAUGCAAACCAAAUACAUUAUUUGUCACCACAAUGCCCAUUCAUCCCUAACCAUACUGGGCAUGUGGCCACCGGCGGGGCUCCUUGCUCCAAACAGUAGCAAGCGGCGGUUGGGCGGCUCUUAGCCUCGGUCAGUGCCAAAUUCAGAAGCCUUUUUUUGUUCAUGAUCAGAAAAUUCCUUGGUACAAUCUUUUUAGUAGCUGUUUUGUUCGCUGUCACAACAAUGCCAUAUCACACUUUCUUAGCACGCCAUCUGAUAUGUCGUAGAUUUGUUUGAUGCCAAACUUGGCCACAAGUGUGUGGCUUAAGUUUUGCUCGCUAAACUUUCUGUGACAGACAAUUUACCAAAGGUUUGAUGUGGCAAACUACGGCACCAACCAAGGAGAACCUGUUUGGUUUGUGACCACAAGUUGCCAUGGCGCAAGUUACACGUGCCACUGUUUCUAAGCUUAGCAUUCAUAAAUUCAUUUUCUUACCAAACUUUAUCAUAAAUUUGUUUUUUGUUUUUGCUCGCCACAUUUCCUGUGCCUGUGUCACAAUUUACCAAAAGUUAGUUAUGGCAAGUUUAAGCAUAAACCAAACAUGCCUUAGGGGGAAAGAGGCCAAAUAUCAAUAGGAAUGUCAUUACCUUUUAAUUACAUAAUAAAUUGUUAUAGUAGAUCAUUAAGGAUCAUAAUGAAAAGUAUUAGAGUUAGGGGCGAGCCCCCUCCAAGCUUCAAGCCCUGUCUUGUGUCUUCAUCACUGGCCGGGCUGUGCAGCGAGGGCGGAGCCUAGUGGAGGUGAAACUAGGCUCCGGCGCCCUUGUUGCAACUGAAAUUUAGAAGUCAGAACUCAGAACUCAGAACUCAAGGACUACUUCAUGCUCUUGACCUCACUAUCACGCUCUCACGCCCGGCCAGUGAUGAAGACGCUAGAGCGGCCGAUGGUCUGGCUGUGAGACGCUAGAGCGGCCGAUGGUCAACAACCUGGCUGGCCUGGGGUGCAUGCGUGAGAGCGUGAUAGUGAGGUCAAGAGCAUGAAGUAGUUGUGGCUUUUCAUCUUGUUGUUGUUCUGCAAGCUUUCCCACUCGUCUUGCUACAGGUAAUAGGGUGUUCUUCGAUCCUCAACGAAGAACAAGAAGGAACAACAAAGGUGAAUUUGUGCGCGUCAAAAAUGUAAUUAUGAAAAAUGUGUCUGUCAAACUAGUUCAAGACUGAGUUUAUACCAAAUAGUUUAAGCAUUUAUGUUUCGAAAUAAAUUAUAAAAAUAUGUUUUAUAACUAAUAUAAUGAUACUUAUUUUGUGUUAUGAGUGUUAGUAUAUUUUUAUAUAGUUUUAGUCAAAAUCAAAACUGUUUCACUCCUCUAAAUAUGAGAAUUACAUUCUUCUAUGUACGGGAGAGCAAAGGAAGACCGAGUGAUAGCUUGUCAUUUUGCCCAACCUAAAAUUUGUUUCACACUUUCACACUCCGCCGGUGCUGCGCAGGUGGUGGUCCGGCUAGCGCUGAGGCCCGAGGGGCGAGGGUAGUCGGCCAGCACAGCACAUCGGGCAGGGGCAGCGCACUGCUGCCGCCGGCACAGCAAAGGUGAAUUUGUGCGCUAAACUUCACUCAGACGGGCUGGUGAAUAAGCUUCGGUUAGGCCCAACUGGCGGCCUGGUGGAAUUGGGCAUCUGUUGGGCUGAGAAGGAAAAUGUUUAGGGUUCGUUUUCAAGCGAGCUAAAAUUCCUUUACGUCUUGUACUCCGGCCUCCGGGCUCCCGGUCCUCCCGCCGGCGGAAGUCAUCGGAGCGAGGACGCUGUCCUGGGGCAGCGCUCGAGAGGAAACCGGCCGUGGAGGAGCGAGCAACGAUUGUUUUGGGCCGUAGAGGUGAAGUGAUGAGCACGGCGAGCGUCAGCGACGACGGCGGUUGGGUAAGCGGCGGAAAGUCGGCCGACGGGUGGCGGGCGGAGGAGGCUGUCGCGGGCAACCGUAGGGCACUGGAGGCCCUUCGGGAGCUCGUGGCUUAUCCAUUCCUCUACGCCCGCGAGUCCCGGCUGCUCGGACUCAAGGUAAUGUGCUCCCGCCUCUUGCCCCCAUCAGACUUCGCCAUUGUCUGCUACACCUUCGGGUUAAUCAUUCAGCUUUGCUUUCUUCAGUGGCCCAGAGGAUUGCUGCUCCACGGCCCCCCUGGCACCGGAAAGGUACUGAGUUUUCAAUUCCUCGCCUUAACUCUCAGCUCUAUUUUCCAUCAUCUAAAAAGAACUCUAUCACAAAUCACCUUGAAGUGCUUGGAUUGUAAUUUUUUGGGUGGAGUUUGAUAUUUAUUUAACUUGUCAGUAUUGAAAUAUGGAAGACCUAAACAGUAUGGUGAUUGUUAUUUUUGACAGACAAGCCUGGUUCGAGCUAUUGUUCGAGAAUGCAACGCACACCUGAUAAUGAUCAAGUACUGAAUUUAUUUUGAACUGUUUCUGUUUAGUGCUGACAUGUACAAUUGUACACUGUAUUUUUUUUACACGAUUUGAAAUAUAUUGCUUCUGGCCACCUUGACAGUCCUUAUUCUGUACACAAAGCCCAUGUGGGAGAGGGAGAAAAGUUCCUGCGUGAAGCUUUUUCUGAAGCAUAUUCUCAGGCUUCGCGGGGUAAACCAGCUGUGAUAUUCAUCGACGAACUUGAUGCCAUAUGUCCACGGCGCAAUGCUAGGCAAGUUUUGCAUAUCUCUCUUCUUUGUGUCUUUAUAAAUGAGAUCUUAAUGUGCUUCCACAGGAGAGAGAAUGAGUCCCGCAUUGUUGGCCAACUUCUUACUCUGAUGGAUGGAAACAAGAAAUCGUCAAAGAUGCUUCCUCACAUAGUUGUUGUUGCAUCGACUAACAGGUCUGGGCAUGCCACACUUUUGAUUUUGAAAUACCAUUGUUGCUAUAACUCAAGGUUUGUUCCAUGUUUAAGAAUCCUGCUGGGACAUGAUUUACAAUCUAUACACAGAUACCAUGGAAUGCCAUUAUGUUGAAUUAAUUGCACACAUUUUACAAAGUUUUCUUAAAAUAGCCUUUUAAGCAUGGUGCUGGAUAUGGUCUUUCUCGUUGAACUGAAACACAGCUUGUUACCUCAUUAGGGUAGAUGCCAUUGAUCCAGCAUUGAGAAGAGCAGGACGUUUUGACUCAGAAGUAGAGGUUUCUGUUCCUACAGUUGAAGAGCGGCUGCAAAUUCUAAAGGUAGCAUUUGAUGUCAUUUUCAUAAAUCUGUUGGUAUACAGUGGUUUUCUUAUGAGUACUGUUACAAUUUAGGUAUCUGGCUUAGGAAAUUGCUGUUGACAAAUGACAAAUGUAAUUUUAUGUUUUUGUCCACAUCAUUGUAUAUGUAUUGAAUCUAAAAAGGUUUUAAGACAUCAGAUCAAAUUUUGUGUUUUGUGAAAUCUUGAAUUCAUGCUCUUGAUUUCUUUUACAUACACCUAAUGUCAUAGGUCUUUAUCUUCUUCAGCUUUAUGCCAAAAACCUACAUAUGGAUGAAAAGGUCGAUCUUCAAACCGUUGCUGCAUUCUGCAAUGGCUAUGUUGGAGCUGAUUUAGAAGCAUUAUGUCGAGAAGCUGCCAAGCUUGCAUAUCAUAGAAUGUUAAACAUAUCUGAGGGUGACAGAGUACUUAAACUACAUAUGGAGGACUGGGAGUCUGCUAGAUCUAUGGUGGGACCAAGCAUAACAAGAGGGAUAACCAAAGAAAUUUCAACUGUUUCAUGGGAUGAUAUAGGAGGCUUGAAAGAUCUAAAGGUUAGGCAUUUCUUGUUUUGUCUCCCUUCUGGCAAAAAAAAACUGUUUUGAUGGUGGUUGUUCCUGUGCUUCAGAAAGAGCUUCAGAAAGCUGUUGAGUGGCCCAUCAAGCAUGCUGAUGCAUUUUCUAGACUUGGAAUACCACCAGUCCGGGGGGUGCUUUUGCAUGGUCCGCCAGGGUGCUCAAAGACUACCCUUGCCAAGGCUGCAGCGCAUGCUUCCCGAGCUUCUUUCUUUUCUUUGAGGUUCAUCAGUAAACAAUGUUAUAUGUUGAGAAAAUAACAGCUUACUUCCGUUGUGCGAAGAACAUAGAACUUCUAUUCCACAGUAUUUAAAACAUAUUUGCAUAAUUUACUGAUCUGCCAGUUGAGUUAAUAUGAUAAUAUCUGGUAUCCAUUACUCAGCAAAAGCUUAAAAUAUAUAAAAUAAUAAACUAAAACACCUUCAGAUAAAGAUACUCUGCUCAACACUGGGUAGGUUUUCACAUAAAUUCUUAUAACAGUGGUGCAGAUUUAUAUUCCAAGUAUGUUGGAGAAGGUGAAGCUCUGUUACGUAGAACAUUUCAGAAAGCACGUCUUGCUUCUCCAAGCAUUAUAUUUUUUGACGAGGCUGAUGCCAUUGCCCCCAAGAGGUAUGCACUGAUAUGUGAUGCACAAUAUAAUAAACAUGAUCUGAUAUAACUGUCAAUCUGUCAUAACUGGCAAGAAUGGAUAGGAAUUUACUAUCCAUUCUUUUACUGUUAAAAUGGAAAAAGAAAUUGUAUUUAACAUGGUACACAUAAUGUGGAGAAUUGAACAGUGUGUGCAAGCAAAUUCUUGUUGAAAACGGUAACUUGAGUGUUCUUUUUAUGACAGUAGAAUCAGUUUAUAUUGAGUUCAGUUUUGCACUUGUAAAUCUUUACUUUUAGCUUCAGAUUACCAUGAGUGGAUUUUACUACAAAUAGUUUAUGUUGGCACCUGUAUGAUCUUGCAGAACUGGCUCUGGUGGGAAUUCUAGUGGCAAUGCCACUGUUGGAGAAAGACUUUUGUCAACUUUAUUGACCGAAAUGGAUGGUUUAGAACUGGCUACGGUACUGUUAGCCUGCUGAUAGCUUUCUGUGUGAUUCUACUGAUUAUUCUAUAUGUAUGUUCACUAGAAGGUCAUUCUUUUCUUUUUAGGGAAUUCUCGUAUUGGGUGCUACAAAUCGCCCAAAUGCAAUUGAUGCUGCUCUUCUGCGCCCAGGACGUUUUGAUAAGGUCUUUCAAUGCUCCUGUCAUUGAGAUGUGGACAUAUAGGCACUGACCAUAAUUUCCAAUUGAUUUGCAGGUGCUGUAUGUCCCGCCACCAGAUGUGGAAGGGCGAUAUGAGAUACUACGCAUCCAUACACAGAAAAUGAAAUUGGGAGAGGAUGUAGAUCUAUGGAAGAUUGCAGAGUGUACUGAGUUGUUCACCGGUGCUGAUCUUGAAGGCCUUUGCCGGGAAGCUGGAAUGGCAGCUCUGAGGGAAGAUAUCUCAGCAAGUUCGAUAUGUAAUACCCACUUCCAAGCCGCACGAAGUUCAUUGAACCCCUCUCUUACAAAAGCAUUAGUUGACGAGUACUCAAAGGCAGCUAUAAAUGAUCCAUCAAGUAGGAAACAUUAAGAUAUUCUCUCUUUUUCUUUGUUGCACAAGAAUAGCUAGAAUGCUUAUCUUGAGCAGCAGGGAGACAUUAAGCAGUUUUCCCUAUUGUACAAGACUGCUAGAUCCUUAGCAUCGGCAAGGAAUGCAAAUAUGCAAUUGUGGUUUCAAUGAAAAAUUCCAGGAGUUCCUUUUCUUUUCCUCAGAAACAGUCUGUAUCAGCUAUAAAUGAUACAUGGUUCAUUUAUUGAUGUAUUAUAUCAUUUUGCUGCUGCAAUCUGUCAUUUUGUGGCGCAAACAUCCAUCUUGUACAUGCACCCUCUUAGUUCUAUGCUGUGCAGCAGCAUUGCUGCGACGGAGCAGGUGAGAUCAUGAAAAGUUAUUAAUGAAGAUCACAAGGCAGCUAUUAUUACUUAAAGAGGAAAACUACAUUGCUACAAAGACAUCGCCAACCUCUAGUAUACCUGAAUACAAGUAGAUCUAAUUGCUUAUAUCAUUUAUCCAAUGCUCCAACAACAAGCAGAGUAUUUUACACGGGGAAGAGGAGUUUCAGAGAGGGUCUUCUUAGAGUACAUCUGUUACACAGGUCCGUCUUUAUAGACUAAGAAUGAGCUGGUCUUGCAGUAACGGCAUGCUAGCCCCUUGCCAGAGGAGGUCGGGGGAGUGAAAGCAAACUGUGAAAUCCCCAAAGUCCUGCCUUCGCAGAAGGUUUUCCUGCUUGAGAUGAAUGGAAGUGUCAAUAUAAAGAGAGGAGCUCAGUCUAUGGAAAUUGCUUGCCAAAAAGGCACAAAAAAAAUAAAUUACAGUGUCAUCAGUUACGAAUAGCUUAACAAUACAUUAUAUACAAUUUGAUUAAAAAAAACUUAAUAUCUUGUUGCUAGGCAGAAUACUGCACGCUUGAAAAUGAUCUGAGUUGUUGAUGCGAGGGGUAUGGCAAACAUUAAAGAAGUGUUGACUUGUAAAUUGAUGAAAUUUAUGGAACAAAUACAGCAUGUGAAACAAAAAAUCAUCUUACCUUGCAACAUCCAUUAGUUUUGAGGCAAUUCGUUUUCUUCUGCGUGAUGGUACCACCCAGAUGGCUCGAAAUCCACAAAGUGCAGGAACAGCUUCUGUUUCACAAAUUAUGGCACCAGGGUCCUGGCACUCUUCUUUGUUCUUGAUUGAAUGAUUGUGACGCCUUAUGAUUUCCCUCUUGAAACUAAUUUCGCCAAACUCUAAUGUAUGACCAUUUUUUCCUGGCUCAUUACUAUUAACUGGCAAACUGCUAUGGCUUUCUUCCGUGGAUCUUGGGAUGACUCUAUGUGCUGCUUUUAUUGGUUCAGUGACAAGGCACCCCACGAUCCUUUGUCCAGAUAUGUAUAGAUACACCUAUACAAUAAAGAUUAUUCUUGUUUAUUACCAUGCAAGACAAAUGUACUUCAUAGAUUGCUACAUACUAUUGAACUAAGAUUAUGCAAUUACUACCUUGCAAAGCUUAUGCAGAAGUUUCCCUUCACCAAAUCCCAGCUCCUUCUCCACCACUGUGAUCACCUCUCUGACCUGCAAUAUUUGUUUGACAUCACAUAACUGAUAACUUGCAUAGACACCACUUGCAUUCAUAUUUGAGAGGAUGGCAACAUUUACAAGCAGUUAGCAAAAACACAAACAUAUAACAGUUAAAGAAUACUGCUUUACAGUCUGCAUUUGUUCAGAAGUCAGGGCACUAAAAUUUUAAUUUUAGCAUAAGGAAUUGAGUUGGGCAGAGUUGUACCUUACUUUUCCACACACAAGAGUUCUCAUCAGUUGCAAGAAUAACGCGAUCACCACCCUCGGACCUCGCCAUCACUGUCUCAUUUUUCCAGCCCUGCAACUCAUCGGUUUAACUAAACGCUCCACACAGAAAAACUAAGAGCACAACGCAUAGAACGCCUAGACCUUGAAAGGGACCCCCUCUGAGUAGUUCUUGUGGUAGGCCCUGUGAACCUUCUCGUCCUCGUCGUUCCCUCGGGCGUACAUCAUGCCGCAGACGGAGCACGUGUGGUGUAGGAAAUCAGGCUGCCCCAGCUCCAGAUGGAACUGCGCGUAGUUCCUCUUCUUGCUGACGAGCUCGUCGCGCCUGCAGCCCUUGGCCUUCCGUUUCGCCUCCGUCGCCGCGAUGUCGCUUCCAUGCCCGUUCCCCUCACCGUCGCCACUGCGCCAAUCCGCACAAAUGAGAAGGAAAUCACAAACUGCUUCAUCCCCACAAGAACAGAUGCUAACGAAUCCGCUUCUUGUGUUCUUUCAUCAGGCGCCACAGCAAUUGAGCAAAAAAGAUUCAAAGCCGGCGAGAUUUGUGUUCUUUCAUCAGUACGAAGAGGGGUAAGGAGAAGAACCUGUUCGGAUCUGGGUCCGCUUCCUGCCGCUUGAAGAACGCGCUGAUCUUGGGCUGCAUCGCCUCGCUUCGCCUUCCCACGUGUUCUCCUCUUCCUUCUCCCGUUUGCCGUUGCUGCCGGCGUGGGGAAAUGCGCAAGAGGCGACGACAGUCAGAAGGAGGCGGCGCUUCGGAUUUGUUUGGGGGACGAAGCGGGGAUCGACGGUGCAGACGUUGUAGUGAGGUUGAGGGCGGGGCGGAUCGGACGGGCAGGAAUUGCGAAGGCCGUCGCGCGGGUUCCUCAAAAGUAGAGGCGAGAUUCGGCGCCAAAACUACCGCCCAAACUCUCGAGUCUCACUGAGGAAGUGAGGAGUAAAAAGAAAACAGAAAAAAAAAAUUGUUUUUUACGUAGCACUUCCCAUUACCGAGUACUAGGUGUCUAGGUCUACGUGCAACGCUUUGUUUGGUUGUUGAAAAUUUUUGGUUUUAACUAAUGUAGCAUUUUUGUUUGUAUCUGAUAAUUAUUAUUCAAUUAUAAAUUAAUUAGAUUCAAAAGAUUCAUCUCACAAAUUACAGUUGCAAUUAGUUAUUUUUUAUAUUUAAUACUUCAUAUAUGCGUCUAGAGAUUCGAUAUGAUGGAAAAUUUUGAAGAAACUAAACAAUGCUAAAAUCAAAUGGUGUUUGUAGCAAUAGGCCUUGUUCACUUGGGCCUUGUUUAGUUCCCAAAAAAAUUUGCAAAAUUUUUCAGAUUCUCCGUCACAUCAAAUCUUUAAACGCAUUUAUAAAGUAUUAAAUAUCGACGAAAAUUAAAACUAAUUGCACAGUUUGGUCGGAAUUGACGAGACGAAUCUUUUAAGUCUAGUUAGUAUAUGAUUGGAUAAUAUUUGUCAAAUACAAACGAAAGUGGUACUAUUCAUAUUUUGCAAAAUUUUUGGAAACUAAACAAGGCCUUGGUAAGUUUUUUUGUUUUGGGUACUGUAGCAGUUUUGUUUGUAUUUGAUAAUUAUUGAUCAAUCAUAGAUUAACUAGGCUCAAAAGAUUCGUCUCGCAAAUUACAUGUAAACUAUAUAAUUAUUUAUUUUUUGCCUAUAUUUAAUGUUUUAUGCAUGUGUCGUAAGAUUCAAUGCGACGAGGAAUCUAUAAAUUUUUUAAAAACUAAACAAGGCCUCAAUGGUUCAAUUUGUUUAGAUCUAAUUUUUUUUAAAAUUUUAACACCGUAGCACUUUCGUUUGUAUUUGACAAACAUUGUCUAAUCAUAGACUAACUAGGCUUAAAAGAUUCGUCUCGCGAUUAAUAGGUAAACUGUGCAAUUAGUUAUUUUUAUCUAUAUUUAAUGCUUCAUACAUGUACCACAAGAUCCCAUUUUAAUUGCAUAUCAAGUGCAUCUGAAAGAUUCUUCGUCACAUCGAAUAUUGUGUCACAUGCAUGGAGCAUUAAAUAUAGAUAAAAGAAAUAACUAAUUACACAGUUUACCUGUAAUUUACGAGACGAAUCUUUUGAGCUUAGUUAGUCUAUAAUUAGACAAUAUUUGUCAAAUAUAAAUAAAAGUACUACAAUAUCCAUUUUAUAAAAAAUUUAGAACUAAACAAGGCCUUGUGGGUAAAUGUCAAUUCCUGAACGCGCCCCCCGUGUUCCUCGUAUCCGCGGGUUCUUGUAUCUGCCGUCCUAGGCCGUGUUUAGUUGGUGAAGAAAAAAAUUCGCCACAUUAUAGCAUUUUUAUUGGUUUAUGGUAAUUAUUGUCUAAUAAUAUACUAAUUAGACUCAAAAGAUUCGUCUCGUAAAUUUUGACUAAACUGUGUAAUUAGUUUUUAUUUUUAUCUAUAUUUAAUGUAUACGUCUAAAGAUUUGAUGUAAUGGAAAAUCUUGAAAAAUUUUGGGUUUUAGAGUGAAAGUAAACAAGGCCUAAAAAUUCCCACUUCGAUGCCGUCCUUAACCCUCACAGUGGGCCGAGAUCCAAACCAAACCCACACCAAUCCAAAACAUGUAUAUGUGAAAGUUAAAUCUAAACCAAAUUAGACCAUGACUUCAAUCAUCCACACCAAACCAUACCACUUAUGCGCUCGACCAAUUGAAAUACAUUUUCAACCCGCCAUUUCACCGGCACCUUAUGCUAUUGUUUAUAUUUAGCCAUAAACAAAAGCAAAAAAAUAAAUAGAUAGAAUAAAAAAUCAUUGUAAACUCUAUUAUUCACAGCCAAACCAGAUCAACCCACUUUAAUAGGGCACAAACCAAACUAGCCCAACAGCCUUCUCAGCCUAUUUCAAUUCAAACCAUACAGUCCAAAAGUAAAACAAAACCAAAAAAUCGGGUUUAGCACAAACCAUUGUCAGGUUGAGCCGUCCUAAAAAUUAACCGGGGCCUUGUUUAGUUGCUCACAAAUUUUACAAAAAUUUUUAGAUUCUUCAUCAUAUCGAAUUUUACGGCACAUGUAUGGAACAUUAAAUAUAAAUUAAAAAAUAACUAAUUACAUAAUUUGUAUAAUUUACUAGACGAAUCUUUUGAGACUAGUUAGUCCGUAAUUAAACAAUAUUUGUUAAAUAUAAAUAAAAGUGUUAUAGUGUCUAUUUUGUAAAAAAAUUAUAACUACUUGUUUAGUUCCCAAAAAAUUUUGCAAAAUUUUUUAAUUCUCCGUCGCAUCGAAUCUUUAGACGUAUACAUGAAGUAUUAAAUAUAGACGAAAAAAAACUAAUUACACAGUUUGGUCGGAAUUGACGAGACGAAUCUUUUAAGCCUAGUUAGUCCAUGAUUGGAUAAUAUUUGUCAAAUAUAAAUGAAUUUAGUACUCCCUCCGUUCUAAAUUAUAAGUCAUUCCAAGAAUCUUGGAGAGUUAAAGCAUUUUUAAGUUUGACCAAAAAUAUAGAGAGAAAUAUAAAGAUUUAUGUCAUAAAAUAGGUACAUUAUGAAAAUAUAACUAACAAAGAAUCUAAUGAUACUUGGUUGGUACAAAAAAUGUUAUUAUUUUGCUAUAUAAAUUUGGUCAAACUUGAAAAACUUUGACUCUCCAGGAUUCUUGGAAUGAUUUAUAAUUUGGAACGGAGGGAGUAUUAUUUAUAUUUUGCAAAAUAUUUUGGAAGUAAAAGAGGCCUAAAACAAGGCCCGUGUUUCCCUAUGAAAUGGCCAGUUGGGCCUUGUUUAGUUUCCAAAAAUUUUUAAAAUUUUCCGUCACAUCAAAUCUGGCGGCACAUGCUGCAUGGUAUUUUAAACCUAUUUACUCUAUGAUUGAACAAUGUUUGUUAAAUAAAAACGAAAGCGCUACGGUGUCAAAUCCAAAAAAUUUUUUGCGAACUGAACAACACCUUCGCCUUUUGCUAUAGUGAAGAAGUCAACUCUGAGCUCGGAUUUGCGUGGAGUAGCACUUCGCCUUUUGCGCAGUUGUGCCUGUAACAAUUUUUCGCAUCUCACUUCUCACCAAACGGUUGCGCUCGCAGGCUCGCAGAUUCCAGCGGCUUCUCUCUAGAUCCGCAAGUAAAACCUGAGAAGGAAUCGCUCCUGACAAGGUGCUCAAAUGGAGCACCGGGAGGACGGCCCCCUCCAACUCCAAGAAACAGCCGCCGAUGACCGUGGCAAAUGCUGUGUCGCGUCCCCCUGCGGGUGGCUGGGGCGGCUGUCCCGCGAGCUGCACUGGAGCUUCGUGCUCGCGGUCGUCGCCGUCUACGGCGCCUGCCAGGGCGUCGGCAACGCCAUCGGCGGAGUCGCCGCGGCGUACUACUGGAAGGACGUGCAGCGCGUGCAGCCUUCGGCGGCCCAGUUCUACCAGGGCGUCACGGACGCGCCGUGGAUCGUCAAACCCAUCUGGGGCCUGCUCACCGAUGUCGUCCCCGUGGUCGGGUUCCGCCGCCGCCCAUACUUCGUUCUCGCAGGUCAAAGAUCCGAUCUUUCUUGGUUCUACCGGAUAGCUAGAUAAAGCCAGCGCGGCAUAUCUCUCUGUCUUGCAAUAAUGCAGGCGUGAUUGGCGUGUCAUCUAUGCUCAUGCUUUCCCUAAACCACGAGCUGGGGAUCGUUCCGGCAUUGCUGAUGCUGAUAGCGCAGAGUGCGGGUGCCGCAAUAGCCGACGUGACGGUGGACGCUCUGGUUGCUCAGAAUAGCAUCACGCACCCGCCCCUUGCUGCUGAUAUGCAAAGCUUGUGUGGGUUUAGCUCCUCUGUUGGGGCGUUGCUUGGAUUCUCCUUAAGUGGCUUGCUUGUGCACUCGAUGGGCUCCCAGGUAUGACAUUUCUGGUUGAUGAGUGGAUUCUGGUUUCUUAUACAAUCCAGACUAUGCAAUGUGAUAACUACUUUACUAUGAAUGUCCUUCUGAAUCAUAUUUAAUUUGUUGACUACUUAACUAUAAUUGUCCUGAUGGUGUGACAUAUAUAUUUUGUCCAUGUUAUUCAGGGGGCUCUUGGUCUGUUGAGUAUCCCAUCUGCACUGGUGUUAUUAGCUGGCAUUCUGCUGAAGGAGAACCGUGGUACAGAAUUUGAUUACAUGCAGGUCACAUAAGGAACCAACAUGCAACAUUUCUGUUUUUUGAAUUGUUGAAUUCACCCAUGGACAGUAAUGUAACUCAUGGUUGAUCUGAAUUCAGGUUCACAAGAAGUUCUACAAAGCAAUACAAUCCAUGGGAAGAACACUGAAGUGCCCCGAGGUCUGGAGACCAUGUGUAUAUAUUUUUGUUUCUCUCAAUUUAAGCCUGGAUAUUCAAGGAGGAAUGUUCUAUUGGUACACGGAUGCUGUUGUUGGACCAGGAUUUUCUGAGGUACACAAACUUACUAGAUAUCAUUAUUUCAUCAAAUAGAUUAAAAGCCUGAAAUUACAAGCCCUUAUUAAUUGAUAAAUCUCGAUGGGGAGGUUUCAUUUCAGCCAAAUCAUUUUUGUCCAUAUGUUAAUUAUCCAAAGCUGUUCUGAUUAUCUAGUAAAAUGAUCAGGCAGUAAAAUGGCCAGUUGUGCAAGUUACAUUUUGUAAUUUCUCUAUGUAAAUGAAAAAUAGUUAUGGUAUCAUCUGCUUAUGGCCAGACCAAUAUAUGUUCAGUUCUGAUGACCAUGCUUGAAAAAAAGGGCUUCCAAAUUUACUGAAAUAUAUUUUACUCAUCACUUGUGGAACAUUUGCUAUAUAUUUGACAAAAAGGGCUUACAAAAAGGGCUAUACUUUUCCAUUAUUUGCUAUAUAUAUAAUCUUGAAAAUUCAUCAUUACAUUUUAUCAGUUAUGCUUUGUUGCCAAAUGGACUUAUCACUUGUGGAACAUUUGCAUUGGUACAGGGAUAUAUUGGUCUCAUCUAUUCAAUUGGUUCAGUUGGUUCACUAAUUGGAGUUUUACUAUACCAAAGCGCACUAAAGGACUAUCCUUUUCGGAGCAUGCUAUUAUGGGGUCAAGUGCUCUCAAGUCUAGCAGGAAUGCUUGAUCUGGUGUUAGUGACCCGGCUAAACCUGAAAAUUGGCAUGCCGGAUUACUUCUUUGCAGUGGCUGAUAACGCAGUUUCCCAAAUGGUUGGUAGGCUCCAAUGGCUACCACUACUUGUGCUUUGCUCCAAGCUUUGUCCUCCCGGCACUGAAGGAACAUUUUAUGCAUUACUCAUGUCUCUACAAAAUGCCGGGUUGCUGAUGUCUGCUUGGUGGGGUGGCCUGCUGCUGCACAUGCUGAACGUGACCCGAAUGGAGUUCAGUAACCUCUGGAUCAUCGUCUUGAUUAGAAACACAUCAAGGCUUGUCCCUUUAAUGCUACUGUUUCUUGUGCCUGAUUGUGAUCAGAACUCAACACUCCUGCCUGCAGAGAUGCUUCAUGGCAAUGAAUCAACAGAAACCACAAAAAAUGGAUCAAAUCAGUUUUCUAUUCUUGUUGGGGACAAUUCUGGCUGCAUUUCUCCUGGUGUGGCAGUUGAUAACGAGCAAAUCAAAAUGAUAGAUGCUGAAACUGAUGAUGUCGAAUUGAUCCCAUUGGUUAACAAGAGCGGGCUGACCGUCUCAUGAUGCGUUGAAUCCAGGAUCCUUAUGCUGAUUCUACUACUGGUUCUUUCCAGCCUGUUGUUGAAGACGGGAAGACUUUUUUUACUGUGACAUGAAAGACAAAGGGAACUGAAGCAUUGGAUAAUGAAGGCAGAUGAGAUACUGUUACAGGGGUAUAGUUUCAAAAAAGAUACUGUUACAGGGGUGAGGGCACCAGUCAUUUGCUGGAGUUGAUCGAGCUCAACCGUACUUUCAUGGUACAUGCUGUAGUUGUUAAUUUAGUUCAAUUCCUUCUGUCACCCUAGAUGAGCAACUGACUGACCACAAUGUUUCUUGUUAUAGAAAGUCCAUUCUUUACUCAAUUUUUUUUUAAAAAAAGGAGAAAACAUCUGGCUUUUAGAAAGCAAUAGAAUACACGGUUUUACAAAAGAAAACGCUGGGGACUCCAGCUACCCAGGCAAACCAGACAGCCUUGUUUAGCAAAACACUUAGAACAUCUGCUGCUAUAUUGAAUAGUAGAGUUGAAAGAGGGUCUCCCUGUCUCAACCCUUGGAAACUUUUAAAGAAUUCACUCCUGUCAUUUACAUUUACGCAAACUCUAGCCCAUUGCACAUAUUACUCAGUUUCAAGCACAAGUCCUUUGGCCCCCAAUGUAAACAAACCGGAAUUACAGUAAUGCGUUUCACAGAAUCAGUCUAACUCUUGGCUUUGCAAUCUGAGCUUGAAUGUCUGUUUUGUUGAUGACAUGUCCGACUGCUUGAACCGUGUAGACGCCAGCAGAGUAGUAACAUUCGGCAGUCGAGUGCCGAAGCCAAAUGGCCUAUGCCCACCCACGCGGGGCGGAAGCGCUCAACAGUCAACAGCGCCCGUUCCGUUCCGCGGACUCGUGCGCUGCUCUACCGAGGCCAAUCAGCUGCUCGAUUUGCUUCUCCCUCGGUGAACAGUGAACUUGAUCCCUGUUUGGAUUUGCUUCUGUAGUUCUGUGAACGUGAAAAUUCUAGAUUCGAAAAAAUAUAUAAAAUUUUCUAGAAUCAAAUGGCAGACCAUCCCAACCCACUUAGUACCUCUAACCUCAGUCAUGAUGCCCCGUUCGUCAGAAAUCCGAAAAAAUAAUAGAGAGAUGACAAACAUGAAAGCUGCACUGUUCAUUUGUUCAACCAUUCAUCUUCAGAAGCCGCAACAUCACCACAUGUUUUACAUCAACACACGGGACAGAGGUCUUGUACACACACCAGGGACGUUUCAAACCAAGCCUGAGACGGUAACCAGGCGCCUUGGUUGCCCAAAACCAACGGUGAUGAUGCUCUACUGUUGCGCCAGCCGCUUCAGGUGCUGAAAGAGCUUCUGUUUUAUCCACUGACGGUCAUAUGGCAGGAAAGCGUGAAGUGAAUCUUCGUACCUGCAAGGAAAGCAUAGCGUGUAAAUUCAAGAACGUCAUAUGAAUAUGAUUAGUUGUCCCACCUUCCUGAUUAAAAGCUUUGACAGUCGAGAAACAUGCACUCACACCAGUGCACUUAUGUCAGUCAGGCCAUCGAUGAAGUUGUACAGGUCACUGAUAUCAUAAGUCAAAUUCCCGACCAUCGGGUUGAUAUUCCUGAUUUUCCUUUCAUAAAGACCACAGAUUCCUUUCAUUCCAGAUAACAACAUGGUAAGAAAAACAACAUGUGCUGAUAACAAAUAACUCAAAUAUUAGCCACAUAACUGCUGAAUAACAAUAUGGUCAUAUGAACAAUAUGGCAAAGUUAACAAUUCUCAUAUCAUGACAAAUAUGAUAUAGUUGACUACUGCAUGCUGUAUCGGUGUCAUAUGGUCAGUUGAAUCUGUGAAUCCACAUAUCUUUCAUUGAAAUUGAAGUGACUUGCAUAUUCUUCAAAGAGAAGUCAAUAAAAUUGUUGAACCCAAGCAUUAGCAUUAUGUACAAACAGUAAACAUUAGAUAUUGGUGUUUUGCUUGGUGGACUGAAAAGUUGCCUGGUACAGGCAACGCACCCAGACCAGGUAUGCAAGCAAACAGCCCAUAGCACACAAUGUCCUUUUUCACAGACAAUUGCCAGAUCAUCAGUUAUAUGCAGAACACCAACUUAAGAACCAGUAAAAAUAGAAGAUAGCAAUCUCAACUUCCAAGCCAUACCAUGACACCGAUACAGCAGCAAAUAGACCAUAGCUCAUCACAAAGGUUUAGUAGAUAAACCAUAUACACCAUUAGUACUGACUAGUGUGCGUUUGGUAGAGUUCUAGAUUCUUAUAAAAACGUUUUGAAUCCAGAUUAUCUUCAGAAACGUUUCUAUAGUGAUUCAGAAUCACCUUGAGGGACUAUUUGACACGUAGGCUAGAUUUUGAUUCUUGAAAGAGAGGGUCUUAUGAGAAAUGGCUAGCAUACCACUUGUAUUGAUAUAUGUUUCACGCGGCUGAUGGGCAUGGACUCAUCAGCUUCUUCUUGUUUUUCAUAACUGGACAUAGGCAUUAUCUUUUCUUUUUUGGCCCAAGUCGUACCUUCUUGUCUUCUUCAUCCUCACACACACAUCUGGUAUCUCCCAUGCACCAUGGCUGAGAGCUGCUAUAGCUCCCAUGGGUACAGGAGCUAUAAUACCUAGAUUAGAAUCGAGCAAAGUCGAGCGUCCAUUGCCUCCUCCCUCGCUCCCCUCAAUCAAAACACAAAACCCUCGCACUCACCCUCCAAACCGUGCUGCACUCACCAAUCUGUGUGUUUAUCCUGUAACUCUGAAACUCCCUUUCCUUUAAUGAAAUACGCACUAUUGCACGUUUGCGAAACAAAACACAAAACCCUCAAUGAAAACAAGCAAUUUCAGGUGCUUAGGGACAGUGGGAGGAGAUGGAUCCUGUGGUGAUGCAAGUGGCAAAUACAGGUAAAUUCAAAAGGGGAGGUAGGAACGCAGGUAGUGAUUCUCCAGCAAAACUGGGUUUUGGGUAUUUCUCGUUUGUAGGCAAAACGAGUAAAUCGUCUGCAGCCGUUCCACACUCGAAACAAAUUGUUUCGACGUGCCAAACAGGGCCUAAAAGUAGCAGUGUCAUUUACACAGCUAAAUGAAGGAAAGAACUUGCAACCUUCCUCGAAAUCAGUAAAGGCGUGAAGCAGAUGCUUUAAAGCACAGAAAAUAAUUGAGUGGUGUUACUAUGGCAAACGAACUGCGGUGAAGAAAGGUUAACAUUUAUGCGAUAACCUCAUAAUUAUUUACAGUCAUAUGGAGAAAACAAAGUAAUGAUAAAAGCUAGAAUUGCAUUAGCAUUUUAGGCAAGGAUAUGAGAAGAGAAGGAAAAAACGAAGUUACAUACCAUCCAGCGCAUGGUUAACUGAAUCGUAGUCCAUAAAUGUCCUCGUCGAUCUGUUCUGCGAUGGUUGCAUGAGAAUGAUGGUAUGCCUUCCAGCCUGCAAGUGCGUUAGAAAUGCAUUGGAGCCUGAAAUAUUCUCAGUCACCGAGUAGACAUUGCUGACAGGGCAGAGGACACUACGAACAGGAUGCAGUUUGCAGAUGCUGAAAAGGGGUUCAAAGCUACAGAGACUGACAAUUUUUGACAAUAUAAAGUAUUCGAAGAGGUAACCAUAUCAUCCUGGCAUUGGUUAAAAGCUAUUGAGCGCUAAACAACAUUUGUCAUUUUUUUCUCACUUAUCACAGGCUCUGCGGUGCAGCCAGCACCUACUGACAUCCUCAACUGAAUAACUAAAUACGGGAAGUUCUGUUCGCCACAGGACCACCCAGCUCCAACGUCAACGGGGCAAAACAUCAGAAAGCAAAAUCCCCAUGCAGAGCAAACUGCAUUCGGCAUCUAACAACAGCACUGGUGAUAAAACCGAGCACCACGACCGCCACAAGCACAAGGCCUGUUUGGUGUCGGCGGCGCUUCCUGCGAAAACCUCACUGACAACGGAAGCAACGGCUGGAGCAGUGACAGGUAACAAGAAAAAACAGUAUGGUCGCCUCCGCCACUGCAGGAGCUGACAGUUGGAAUUUAGCAGGGUUAGAUCGUCAUACCAUGCCUGCGGCCUGCCCUCUGCGCGGAAGCUCAGCAGGAGAUUGGGGAUCCCGUCCCGCCGCGAUCCCCGCAGAGUCCACCGUCCAACGACCGAACCCUAAGGGCACAAAUUUGCAAUCAGUCCGAUGCAAUCCAAGCACUGAUGAAUCACAGAACUACUGGGGCAAUGGUUCGCUUACUCAAAGAAAUGGGGAAAGUGCGGCAGGAACGACGAUAAAGGCUUCAGCGUACUGAGAAAUAAACACACGAACGCCACUGGGGAGUCACUGAUGAUACCCCCACAACAGACGAAUGCCAAAUAGGAUGGAGAGGAAGCCCACUGGGGUUGGGUGCAAAUGGGGUCUGCUCUCGGCGGGGCUGCGUACGAGCCACGCAGGAAGAGCAACGGUUAACAAAUGAUUAAGCUGGCACCUUCAAACUUAACUGAGGCCUUGUGUCAAAAGAUUCAUCCCGUAAUUUACAGAUAAACUGUGUAAUUAGUUUUUAUUUUUAUCUAUAUUUAAUGCUUAAUACAUGUGUCGUAAGAUUCUGAAUCUUAGUUUCUGGGUUAACAAAUGAUUAAGCUGGCACCUUCAAACUUAACUGAGGCCUUGUGUCAAAAGAUUCAUCCCGUAAUUUACAGAUAAACUGUGUAAUUAGUUUUUGUUUUUAUCUAUAUUUAAUGCUUAAUACAUGUGUCGUAAGAUUCUGAAUCUUAGUUUUUGGGUGAACUAAACAAGGCCUGAACUAGCGUGAGAGAAACAAUGGCAAAGCUUCGUCUAUAACUCUCCUAGGCAGCCGAAGAACAGCGCCAGUCGACCGCCCAAGAUAUCUCAAAGCGCGGAAUACAUACUAGUCAACUAUUGCAUGAGCAGCCAAAUGUACAUACACAGCCAACAUCAAAUCUCCAGUUAAACAGCAUGGAAAACCAAAGCCCAAGAACAUCAUGGCAGCAACUGGGUAAACCAGGACCUAGGCAGAUCGAGCAAUGACUCCUAAAUAACACAAUAUAUUGUAACCGACGAAACAUUCCAAAACCAUAGUACAAUGUUACAAAAUGUGUAGUCACAGAAAAAGAACUAACAACAUUUUAGGUGGACACAAAAACAUCACAUUUAGCCUUGUUCAUCUGGGGCUCCAGCAAAUUAAGCUGGCCGCCCAAGAGCAAAAUCCAUGGCUUCUUUCUUUCCUUCCUGGUCGAAACAAUAAUAAUCAACACUCAUCUGAUCUCGCAAAAUUAUACAGCUCAAAACUGGCUGUUCCUCACAUCUUUGGUACCGAGUUCCUUGGACACCUAAACUAUAGAGAAUACAUGACGCUGGCUUCUGCAGGAUACAGCAUCUGAAAAAGUUGAUAGGCCAAAGCUGCUAGGACGAUUAUUUCAAAAGGCUGUUGCAAGCGUCUAUUACAGCAGCCUGUGAGCCUAAGAUAGCCUGACCUGAUGGGUUUGCUUCCAAGGUUUUCAUGACAGCAUUAAAAACUUGCUUGCGGUAGAAUGUAUCCUCCAUUUUCUUUAAAACCUCCUCCACAGCUUCAAAUCUCAAGGCGCCCAACAAAGUCAGGCGAGCAAUAAUUUCACCAAAUUGUGUUGGAGCUUUAGGGAGGUCAAUGCCAAUGUCAUCCAGCAGAGCACCGUAUAACAAGCAACCGGCUUCCAGAUCUUGAGUCUUGAAAAUUUUCUUUGUGUACAGAUGCUCAAGUAGCCUGAUGAGAGGAUCAACAAAAUUGGUGCCUUUAUCUAGAGCAAGAUUGACAGCUUCUUUAACAAUUUCCGGGUAGUAACCAGGACUCUGCAACUCCUCGAUACAUUGUUGUGCCUCAUCUAAAAUACGUAUGCCGAAAUACUCCUCAAGAAGAGCUAUUGUUUUCUUCUGAAGCUCAGCAGAGUUGCCCUUGGGAGCACUGGCUGGUUUAUCAGGAGCAGGGGCAACAGCUGGUGCUGCAAUUAAUGGUUUUGGUGAUGGUGUAGUUUGAGCUGGUGCUGGUCCAGGUGUAAAGCUGAGAGGACGAGAUGGUGGAACACCAGUUCCCAAAAGUGCACUCUUGCCAAUUAGUGCUGCGCCACUGCCUUGAGGAAGAAGCCUCGUGUUAAUAGAUGAUGCCUUUUGAACUGUUGACGGCCUAUUGAGCAAUGGCCCCUGGUUGCGAAUCGAGUCACCUCUUGGCAUUGAUCUAGAACGAGGAACUUCCCAGUUAUCAUUGUCCAACCCAGGCAUUCCAGGCAUCUUUCUUGAACCAGGCAUUCCAGGCAUCAUGCCUCCAGUUCCUGGGCGAUUCAUUGGAAACCCACCUCCAGGCGAAAGGGGGCCGCCUGGUGAGCUACGGCCAUUCCUAAUGACAGAUGCUGCUCCAGGUCGUAAUCCAAGGUUCUUUUCUGCCUCAGAGUGAAUUUCACUGAUUGUCUUGGCCUUAAUCUGAAAGUCACAAACAGUAUAGAUCUCAGAAUAAUUUUACAACAAACUUAAAAUGUGGCUAUGUCCUGAGACCUAUGUACGAUAUAGGAUACCAAAAAUGUUCCAAGUGUUGCAUCAAUAUCACAGAUUCAUUAUAUGCAUCCAAAAUCGAGAGUUAAGCAUUAACUUCAGUAAAAUUCAUGCUGGCACAUCAAAAUAACAGAAUGAUUCUAAGCAUGUCAUUCAGUCACAUAGUACAUGUGAGAUCAAGGCAUUGAUGCCAUUACAAAUCCGAGGAAAGUAAGGUAGUUAAAUCAUAUAUACAGUAGUCAUUUAAUUACCUCCUCACGUCGAGGCACCCAGUUAUUUGAUCGGAGUUCAAUCACAUCACGAACCAUAAACCUCAAUCGUGGUGCGAGCUGAGGAUUCAUUGUUAGCUCCUUCAUCUGGAUGAAGUAGGUAUCAUUAAUCCGCCGAGACUUUGGGUUCUCAUCAAGCUGUUUACCAAUCGUAUUGAAGAAAUGACAGAUAGCCUCAACAUCUUCCUCUUCAGGGCAUGGCUUCUUAUCAGGCCCAGACCCCAAUAGCUCCUGCAUACAAAGAAUGGAUUAGAAGAGAUCUCACCGGAUAAUAGAGGUACUGUUGUUAGUUCCUGGUAUGUACCAUAACAAUGUGAUGAACUAUCUUCUCAGGAACCAUUUUUUGCUUGAGUAGCUCACCAAUUAGGCGAAUAUUUCCAAGUGUUCUAAGUUUGACCAACCGUUCUUUGUCCCUUCUCUCCAUCUCUUGGUCAGGGCCAGUUAAUUUAGCAAUUUCAGCUCUUAAGCUACUAGCACCUUCAAAGGCUUCCUGACAAUUGUUCAAUAGCACGCGCUUGAACGUGAUCUCUUUGCCAUCUGGCUCUUCAGGAGAGAAUGUCGGGAGCUUUACAUUGAGGUCAGAACAAAGUUGAGCAUACAUCGGACAGAACGUGGGCUCAAAAACUGCCUUCUCAAAUAUGAGAGAUAUAACAUCCUGAUCAAAAGCAGCAGGGAAGAUGUCAGAAAACAAAAGGUUGUAAACAGAUGGUGGUAAAUAAAACAAACCUUCAAAAUAUCAGCAGUAGUAAUUCCAGCUUCCAUCAGUUGACCCUUGAGAAGAUCGAAUUUCUCUGGUGUAAGUUUGUUCAGUAUACUGCAUAAUUAAGAGCAAUUAAACAAAAAAAAUGGAGAAACAAGGAACUGGGUAAGUUUUAUUCUAUAAAUCUAUAAGUAAGACAAACAACACUCUUAAAUAACCGAUUAAGGCAAAAUCAUUAUAUUACCCUUUCACCGUUUUUAAGACUCUUUCUUUCUCUGAUAGAUUGCCUCUUCGGGCUGACCAGGGCACUUCAGCCUUAAUAAGAGCAGGGGUGGGGCCAACCUGGUAAAAAGAACAGGACAAUUAUGAUCUGAAGAGUAAUUACAUGAAAAACAGAUAGAUCUGCUAAAUGGCUGGCCUGCUCCACAUACAUACAAGUUUAGUGAAUGCCACAAUACAAUACAAUACAUGAGAUAAAAGGCCUAGAUACUGUAGACAAUGGCAGACCAAUGUUGUUUUCCUGUUACAAUUUAUGCUCAGCACAACUUCAUGUCAUUUGCACAACAUUCAUAACUAGAUUUAACAUAAUCACAUGGGGGUACUGAACAUUCCUAGGUCAGGCGUUUAGUUAAAUAAAUGGUUUCAACAUUAAUAUAGUGAUAGGCCAGAAGAAUGAAGUUGGUUACGAAAUUUGACGGAAAGAGUUGCAUCAAACAAACAUUGGUUGUAAAUGGGUAGCUAACCAAAUCAGUUUCAACUUGCAACCACAGAGAAAAAUAUAAACAACAGCACAGGACAAUAAUAAAAAUGCAAGGAAGAAAACAAAUAAUGGAAUAGUAAAAUGGAACAGCAAAACUAGUAGAGCUGUUCGUACUCCUUGAAGGUACCUGAGCUUUCGAAGCAAACUGGGAGCUUAACUGAUCUUGCCUGUUAGCUUGCUCUUGUUGCCUACCACUAGAGGCAUAGGCCUCUUUAGCCUCACGUAUGUUGUCCCAAGAUUUCUCUUCAUUAGCCGGAGGCGGUUGUGCUGAUCGUGCACGCCAAUCACGGUUAUCAGUCUCAGCAUACCGAUUCUGUGCUUGUGCUUGAGCUUGGGCUUGGGCUUGGGCUUGUCCUUGAAUCUGAAUAAUGCAUUUCAGUAGUUUAGCAAAACAGUACCUUGUGAACAUCUGAGAAAACUAGAAGGUAAAAAAAAAAGACUCAAGGAAAGGUAAUGAGGGGGCUCACAGCUGAAUCAUUGCGAACCCAGCUCUGAUCUUCACCAUGAAGCUCUACAUCAAUCUCUUGCUUGAUCCUUAGAAUGUCCUCAGACACAUCAACAAUCUGCCAAGAAGUGGAAGAACCAUAAUCAGUGUAUGCAAAUUUGAUAAACUGUAUACAUACCACAUGCUGCGUUGAAUGUCAGCCUCCCAAUUACAAGUCAUGAAGUCAUCUAACAUACAUAGCCACAUGAAAUAUUCCCUCGAAAAAGUGAUAACCAAGUCAGUUGCCACCCUCUUCAAAUUAGCACUAUUCAUAUUUGGGUACAAGUGUGAGCUUAUAAAUUGUGAAAUAAAAUGAAGCAACCUAAAAUGGCUACCGACAAGAGAGAUAUCCAAUCAGCUAUGAGCUUCCUGCCAUUUUGUUUAACAUCUACAUGUGCGACUUCACCCUCAUCUACUGUGAAUGCCUCUACCUCCAUCCUGAGUUCUCCUCAGUUCAGAAAAGUACACCACUCUGGAUACAGCACUGACUACAAGAUAUAAAUUUCACAAAGAAGUACAACUGUCAAAGUGUUUGCUUAACAAAAAAAAUACAAUAUGAAAGUGCUACUGACAGAAUAGUCAUUAAAACCAAAUUCUUGCAAGCAAUCUAGAAACUGCUGUAAUCAUUAUUGGCCAAAGUUGCCAUUUUACUGCACAUACACUUGACAGUAGCAUACACUUGCAAGAGGAGGUAUCAUUUUCUCAAUGCAUGUAUGCUCUUUUUUGACACUGCCCAGAUAUGCAAGAAUACUCAAAGCGAAUUUCCGCAAUCUUCAGAUAUGACAAGCUACAUUAUAGGCACUAUUCUUUAAAACCACAAAUGACAUGUCUACGAAGACAUCUGUAGCAAUCUUCAAAUCCAGAAACUGGCUUUGUAUGAAGCAUCAGAUAUUAAGUACCUCACGCAGCUCAAGAAGUUGAUCUCUUGUGUAACGAACACGCUCGCGUGGCUCAAAAUGUGACUCGCCGAUCUGCACCAAAAUAUUAGCUAUGUCAAGGUAGCACAUAUGAGUCUACAGAACCAUUUUAACUUUACACUGGCUACAGUAUGUGAUAAACUUAAGACAAUUAACCCAGACGAAGCAGGGUGCACAGUGUACAAAACAGUUGAGCCUACUAAGAAGUCCAUGUGUGAAAUAAACAGCAUAUCGAUGAAAGAAAUAUUCUUGUUAACUGCUUAGCCACAUCAUAUAGUAUCCCAAAGACCACAUACAAGGGCAAGUGAAGCCCUAAGGGCUGAAUCCCUGCGCAGGAGCACGGCAUGCAUCAGAAUCUACCAAAUCGCAUCUCAGGUAGUAUCAAUCCUUUGGUACGCAUCAGCACCUUAUAAAUAAAAUCUCAUUAAGGGGCUUCAAGACUACUAAAUCUCCCCAUAUCUGACAACGAAAUGAGACGUGGCACCAAAACGAGCUCAUCUACAAUUAAGUAGGCCCCCUGACAAGGAGAUCCGAUCGUUUCCCCCGGAUCUCCGCCUCCCGCCACGCCGCAAACCAAUCGAACCCACUACGGACAGCAAGCCAUACAUCUAGAUCGAGCCUUCCUCACCUUGGAGAUGCCGGAGGCGCCCCCGCCGUGCGGGCGGAGGAAGUCUCCGGAGCCGGAGGUGGCGAAGGCGGGGGAGAAGAGGCGGCCGGCGCGCGGGCCGCCGCCGCCGCCGCCGGGGCGCAAGCUGAUCACAGGCUGAUCCGGCUGCAUGCUUCGGGGGCAGAGAAUCCGACCAGAAAGCGAAUCGCGCGGGAGUCGAUCGAGGAAUCGGCGAGCGCGCGGGGGGAAAUCGCAGAGGAAUCGAAGGUCAGGGAGGGUGGAAGGGUUCCGUCUGCGACCUCUCUUUCGGGGAAGAGAGGGGAAGGGAAGGGAGGCGUGGGCGACGGGAGGAGGUGGGGUUUUAUCUGGUGGAGCUAGGGCUGCAGGGGCUGUAUCGUAGUUCGCUGCGGAGUGAUGAGGGCAGUUUCGUGACUGCGUGCAAGGUUUUGCCUACGAGGGCUGGCGUCCGGGGGACCCCUGUCGGCGUGCGCUAGGCCUGGCGGUGACGGGUAAUGACGGUUCUGGUCAGGUGAGGCGGGGGUAUUUGCAGCUGGGUACCCUUUUUCAGCUGGACAGUGAUGUUAUCUCGUCUCCAACAGUAGACCUUGGAACCUCACGUUAGUAAUCUUCUUUCUCACUCUACGGAGCAUGUCGUGAAAAUAUGAAUUACUCCCUGCGGCUCUGUUUAGUUCCGCCCAAAAUUCAAAAAAAUUUAAAGAUUUUUCGUCACAUCAAAUCUUACAACACAUACAUAAAACAUUAGAUAUAAAUUAAAAAAAUAAUUAAUUACACAACUACAUGUAAUUUGCGAGAUGAGUCUUUUGAGCCUAAUUAGUCCAUGGUUUGACAAUAAUUACCAAAUACAAAUGAAAGGCUAUUGUGUACAAAUCUAAAAAAAUAGAUCUAAACAAGGCCUACAUCCCAAAUUACAAGGCAUUUGUUUUUUUUUUAAAUCAAAGCAUCUCAAGUUUACAAAAUUUACAUAAUAGACAAUAACAUUUAUGAUAUCACUAAAUUUUUAUAAUAAACAAUAACAUUUAUAAUAUCAAAUAAGUACUAUUAGAUUUUCAUUAACUAUAUUUUUUCAUAUUAUACCUAUUUGAUGUUAUAAAUCUUUAUAAUUUUGGUCAAAUUUUAAAUGUUUUGACUCUCAAAGAAAAAUAAAUAACUUAUAAUUAUCUAUUUGAUACCAUAAAUCUUUGUAACUUUAUCUAUAAUUUUGAACAAACUUAAAAUGUUUUGACUCGGCAUCCACACUUCUAGACCUCAAGGAUCCACUCCACUCACAUUUGCUUGCUAGAGACUGCAUUUGUCGUGAGAUUGGAGCAAUCUAGUACAUUUGCUCUUGGAGAUGGCACAUUGUGGUACUUGUGACCUAUCUUUACUUUGGAUUUAUUGUUGCCCUAGGCGAUAGCCGCUAGCUAGACGGCUUGGAGUAGCGGUGACUCCGUGAAGCGCUUGAGAGAUUGUGAGGCGCUCCAAUCAUCGAGUAUGAGAGGCUCUUGUGCUUAUCCUCACCGAAGAUUGGCAAAAAAACUUCAUAGAAUUGUAGCUUGAGAAGCAUUUCGUGGUCGAACUGACUUAUAAACAAGUAAGGAUGAAAACGGAACGGAAAUAUCCUGAACCGAACCGAACCGCUUUCUAUAUUUGAUCCGAUCGAAUUCGUAUUUUUUUGUCCGACUUUAUCGUUUUCGCUUUCGUAUUUUAGAUGUUUCGUAUUUCAAAUAUAAAAGUAGAAAACGGUUUUGACAUUUUUCGACCGUUUUCUACUUUUCUACUUUUAAUAUGAAAUAUUUCGAAUUCAAAAUUUGGUUUAAACCGAAUUUAGUCAACUGUAGGGUCACACAGUCUAAUUACAGACUACUCACCAUGCAUCUGCGUUCUUUCUACUAGUGGCUAGUUGUGUUCAUGUUAGCUAUUAAUUGCUUAUUCUAGACUUGUAUUUAUGUGUGGGCUAUUGUAUUAAAUACCUAAGACUAAGGAGCAUGCACUUUUUAAUUAUUAUAUGCACUUGAACUUGAUCCUAUAUAUACUUUUAGUCAUGCACUUUUAUAUAUCAGUAUUUCGUAUUGAGUUUUCGUAUAUCGACCGUGUUCGACAUAAAUCCGAUCGAAUUGGUUCGUUUUCGAAAUUCUCGAUGUUUCGUAAGUUCGUGUUCGUUUUCGUGUCCGACUUUACCGUUUUCGUUUUCGUUUUCGUAUUUCAAAUGUAAAAGUAGAAAACAAUUUAGGAGUUUUUCGACCGUUUCCGACCGUUUUCAUCCUUAUAAACAAGUGCUCGCAUUAGAGCCAACUUUGAGAGAGCUUGUCGAGGAGCGACAAUCAUUCAGCACUGUCCUCGACGUGGACGUAGGUGACCGGCAGGCCACCAAACCACAUGGAUAUAUUUGAUGUCUUAUCCUUGUGGUGUUUAUCAUCUACUCCUGUGCUUUUCCUUAUGUCGAUGAGAGCCUAAUAGGGACCGGGUGGGUUGAGGCCGUCAAAGGAUAGGCCCAAUCUGAAUAGGGUAUGUCAUCUACUUAGUGGACAAGGCAUAGCCAUAUGUACUUAGAAAACAAUUUUAUUUGAUAGAAUUUUUUACAACGAACCAGGAAUCUUCAUGUAAACAUAUUGGGACUCUAUCUAUAAUAACCCCACCCUAGACUUUUUAAGGUGGGGUGGGAGCCUCUAAUCGGUAUAUCAUCAAACAUUACAACCUAUUAGAUAGCCUUAGCAUCCCUGUAAACUACGAGCAUAUAAGAUAAGAAAUCAAAUCUCCACUAGACAUAUGACACCCUUUGGCUGAACCGUUAUAAAUCUAUGUCAUGUGUGCUACCACCUGAAUUUCUAUGCACAAUUCAUUUAUCUUCAUUGCUGAAGUUCAUAUUUCCAAUAGUUAGCGCGUUUAGUGGGGCCUUUGUGGACCGAUCUAUUCUCACAUGUUUGAGAUGGGGAUUCAUCUUCAAUGACAUUGCCAUUCAUUAUCAUCUCGUAGCAACCCUCGUCAUCCGUUGUCAAUGACGCACAUCGUCAACUCGACGUCCCUCGUCGAUAGCACAUUUCUUUGACAUGUUGUCCCUCAUCGAUAGCCAGAGUUCAUCAUUAUCUCAUCAUUCCUCGUCGAUGGCACUCGUCAUCGACUCAACAUUGCUUGUCGAUAGCUUGAGCUUGUCGUCAACUCAAAGUCCCUUGUUGACAGCUUAGAGUUCAUCGUUGACUCGUUGUCCUGCAUCGAUAGCUCAAAGUUUGUCAUCAACCUGUCAUUCCUCAUUAACGCAUACAUCUUCAACUCAUCAUCCCUCAUUGUCACUCAGAGUUCAUCGUCGACUCAACAUCACUUGUCGAUAGCUCGAAUUUCAUCAUUGACUUGUCUUUCCUUGUCGAUGACAUAUAUCUCGACUUGUUGUCCCUCAUUGACAUCUCAAAGUUCGUUGUCAACUCGUUGUCUAUCAUCAACACCACUUAGUGGUUGUGUAGGGGCUUUGAUCAUUGGUUAUUGUGAGGGGCUUUGUGCUCACCUCAUGUGAGUUCUCAAAAAGUAAAUCUAGUGAAAUCAAUCUAGAUAUGGCGAGGUCCAGUGAUCUACUUACUUCUAGUGGUGCCCUUUGUCGUAGGGGCCAAGCUUGGGUGCUCGCUAGGUUAAGUGAAGUAGUGAUAUUAGGAUUCACCUCGGUAGGGGUUAAGUUGUCGGCAAGGAACCAAACCUAGGGUAAUUACUAAAUAUUGUGUCACUUGCCUUCAGUGGUUUUCAUCCUCUCCACAUUUGCAUUUACAUUUCAUAUCUUCUGCUUGUGUAGUUGCUUGGUAGAUGUAGCUCUCUAGCUUGUUGGUUGAUUGUGUAUCUUAGCCCUUAAGUGAGUAGUUUAGUUUAGUUGUUCUUGUUACUAGCUCACUACUUAUUUAGUAGUGCUUGUAGUUGUUUGUGUGUUUGUGUGUUCACUAGUUAAGUUGGCAACUAGAACUACGUUGUGGCUUGCAUUACUUUGAGUAGGCUAGACAAAAUAGUGGCUACUAGAAUAUUUUUUAUACUAAUACACUUUGCCUAGUAUCUAUAAUUGUAGAAAUUUUGUAGCUUAACCAACCUCUCUACCUAUCUAUAGAUCCUUUCAUAAUUGUACACGGGAAAAAUCCACCGGUGUAGGAAGGGUAGCGGUGAGCGAGAAUUCGCGCGGGGGAGGAGAAUGGCAAACCAGUGCAACAUGCUUUUUUCAGCGAACUAGAGGUCCAAAAUAGAUCGCUUCUUAUUUUGAAACACCAUAUAGAAAGAGUUGAGGCUUAUUUUUUCUGAAAAUUUAUAAAAUUUAGCUUCGUGUUGUAAAUAUCUCGUCUCUUGGAGUUGUUUUUGAUAAUAAUAUCAUAAAAAGUCUUCAUUGUGAAAUACUUCUCUAAAACCCCCAGUAGGAAAUAAAUGGUUCAUAAAACCUGCCCUCAUCUUGCAAUGGCCAAUGGAGAACACGUCCAGGGUUACAUGGGCCCAAGCCAACCCAACUCCGUACAAACCAUUAGUCCGAGAAAAGGCUCUCAGCAUCCACCGAGACACAGCCCACCGCAUCUUUUAGCCCGCUUCCAUUUCUUCCUCCAUGCUAACUUGAAGACGUUUUUUUUUUCAUAACAACUCAAGGCGCUUUUAAUGCACCUGAAGAACAUGCCUUGUCCCUUGUCGGCUAUCCCAAUUCUAGAUUGAUAACAGUGUGCUCGCUCGAUCCUAAAAGCAUCUCCAAUGAUCUAGUAUAGAGCAAGUUGAAUCAACUUUUUAAUCACUGGAUAGUAUAGUUUAAAGUUUUUUUUUUGAAUCCCAAAUAUAUAUUGCAAGUUUGUAGAUUUUAAAAUCAAGAAUUUAGAAAGUUUUACAAAAUUAUUGGAGGAAUUUUUUUCUUUUCCCAAAAAUAAAUUAUGAAGUCGUAUAACUUUUGGAGAUACAAUAUUCUCAAGUAAGAGCCGUUGGAGCGCUGCCGGGCUAACUGGCAAUGCUCUAUGUUGCAGGUUGAUCAAACCAAAUGAGUGUAGCGUGGUUGUUGAUCCUCGCAACUCGCAUUCUCGCAAGUACACGGCGUUUCUAGAUUAAUCCCCUGUCAAAGUAUGCUUAAAAUAUCGGGUUUUUAAAAAAGUUUGUGUUUCUUAGAAGUAACUUUCAAAAUAUAAGAACUCAUCAAACUAAUAAAUAUUGGUAAACGGUAGCAUGUGAGAACGACACAGGCCUAUAUUUUGCAUAAUUAAACACAAUAACGGGUACGCACGACGUACGGACGGAUAAAAAUCAAGAUCACAGUCACAGCGGUCCACAUUCAAAAUGUUUUAAUGUUUCUCACUUUCUCGUGGUGCUCGUGCUCAUGGACCUUCCAUUUACGUCUAUUGUUAAACCUGACUUACUUUAACAUGUUGGCUUUGGCUCUGGCUUUUCCGUGAAAGAGGAACAACUCAACUUUUUGUAAAAAAAAGUAAGCAUCGCUCUAAUCAUUUAUGGUUGUUCCUUUCCAGGAUGGAUGGCUACUGCAUAUUACCAUAUAGAAAUCAAAUGAAAACUCUACUGAAUUAGGCAAGCGAUUAGAAGAAGAGAAAUACAGGUCGUCCUAGUUGAAUACUCAAAGUCAGCUGCGAUUGCUUAAGAAUUUUUUUAGGAAGUUAAAUUUUAACUUUUACCAUAUCAAACGUUUAGACGCAUGUAUAGAGUAUUAAAUAUAAACUAUUUACAAAACUAAAAACAUAGUUAGAGAAUAAUUUAGGAGACGAAUCUUUUAAACAUAAUGUGUCAAAUAAAACGAAAAUACUACCAUACCUUUUAAACUUUAACACCUUCAGCCAAACACAUCCUUAAUGCUGGGAGUGACGGUGGCAUGCAUGCAAGGUGCUGGCGUGGACGCGGAUGCUUAGCGAGCGGUUCGGACUUCGGACCGAUGGAUUACAUCACAUCAUAGCUAGGUGGGCUUAUUUCGUGUGAAAAAAGAUAUAUACCACUUCAACUUAUUAAAUUUGUUUUUUAAGCAACCGGAGGAGUUGCCCCUUCUGGAAAAUUUUAUUAAAAAUAGAAAAGAUAGUCUAUGACUAAGCUAAUACUUUAUUGGCUUUACUAUAGAGUUACUUCAUUUCAAAUUAUAAGAUGUUUUGAUUUGUGUAUAUAUGUAACUUUUGUUAUUGCACUUAGAUAUAUAUUAUGUUAGAUACAUAGUAAAACCAAUGUAUAUAGAAAAAAGAUCUUAUAAUUUGUAAUUUGGAAUGGAGGGAUUACCAAAUAGAUGACUCAUGAAAGAUAGAUCUCAUGCAGUCAUGCUCAUGUUAUUCAAAUUCAAAUUAGAUCGAUCGAUAGAUAGAAAGGUUAAGUCUUAUUUUCACUUUUUUCUGAACUGAAACGUCCUAUUUUCACUUUUAUUCAUGCACUAAUGCUAUUUAUGCAACUUAACAUACUUACUUUGCUAAUGCUAUAGUUGUUGUAUAUUUCUUCAUUACUAAUUUAAGUAAGCCUUGCGGAGUAUAUUCUCAUACUCAUGGACAUGGUGCUGUCAUUAAGUUGUUUCACGCGAGCAAAUGCUUGCUACGACUACUUAUGCACCCUAGAGCCAUCAUUGUGCCUUGAUCUGUGUAUGUGAGGUGUGGCAUGGAUCUCUUGUUUUGUAUCUUAACAAACCCGAUGCCGCAUCUCCCUGGUUCUCCGCUGGUUGAUCCAUCACUUUUGUGGACGAAUUUCUUAGCUUGAAUUUUAUUGUUGGGUGCCAUCACAGCUAUCGGAGAUGAUGUUCUCUGCCAAGAAUUCGCCUAGCUAGGCCACACAGAGAUCCGUUGCGCCUAAACUUUGCAAACAUGCAUUAGCAUCUCGAUCUUGUCGUUGUGAGCUGAAUGAAGUACAUCAACAACGUGGCUACUGUGAGACCAUCUUUUCCGGUUCUUUUUAGGAGUUUGGGGAGAAAGAGAUUAGGGCAAAUAGCAUCUCCAAGAGUACUCAGUAAUCAUUUCCAAUCCAUAAUUAUUGGGGAAACGGAAUUUUUCCAACAACUCCCAAACUUACAUCCCAAUCUUGUGUCACUUGAGAAAAAAAAUCCUCCUUAGCGUAAAGUUACACGGACUCUAGGUCGUACAUAUCUUCUUUUCCACCUAAUUUUUUAUAAUUUGACACUUUUUUGAAGAAAAAUUACAUUUGGACCCUUGGAUGACUUAAAUCUAGAUUUGGAUCCAGGGUGUUGACGCCGUGAAGCAUGGCGUCGAGGUUACACGUCUCGACGUCGUAAUUCACGACGUCGAGCUCCCUGGCACAGCACAGCGUGGCGUCUGCGUGGCUAUUUACGUGGCAGAUAUAUCGACGUCGUAAAUCACAGCGUCGAGGUGGACGCCGUAGAUCACGGCGUCGAGUCUUGAUUUACAAAACGCCAGCCACCCUUCCCUAACCGUGGCCACAG